rnacentral:lncRNA from 1 species
GCCGGUAUGCUCGUGAGCUUAGGGGAAAAUCUCAGCUGGAUUCCCUGAGAAUUCAACAUAGUCAAGGCUAGUAUAAGUUUAAUUCGGAUAACUAAAGAGUUUGGUACAAAAACUCUGAAGCAGCUCGCUAUUAAGAUUGUGCGUGGAACUGAAAAUAAGAAAUAAGUUCUAUGAAUACUGUGGAAUAACCUGCUAUGCUAGGGUCGAUCUGUUUCUAAUAGCUCUAUCAUUUGAUAUACUGAAAAGACCAUGUAAUAAUCUUAAGAAUUGCAGACUUAUGCCUGGAAUCUUCCGAUGAUAUAUAGGGGUGCUUAUAUCAGAUCAGUAUCUUUCUUUCUUGAAGUAGAAUUUUUGCAUACCUGACUUGUUUUUAAUGAGAUUUCAAGGACUAUAUGACUUGGUUUCCAAAUUUUUAUGAUACAUACAGAUAAUAUUACCACAGAACCAGUGUAGUUUCUGUAUGAGCCGUUAUAGAUUUCAGUUAAUAGUAACAAGUUUUUGAUUAUUAACAACAAUGUUGUCCUUCCACGUCUUAAAUAUUCCAUUCCAUAACACACAUUGUGACGAAUACAUAACUUGUUACCACUAACGAAAAUUUUUGCCAUCAAUAGCUGAAAAUAGCUGUUAGUUACACAAGCUGCAAAGCUAUAACUUUGGAUUUCAUAUUCAGAUUCUCUCUCAAAGUUGAACUUGGAACUACGGUUGAUGAUCUGCUAUUAUGCUGAGAAAACUACAAGAUUUUGAUUGGUUGUCAUCAGACAAUGUAAAAGAAAUUAGCAUGGUAUCCAAAUUCUUAAGAGUUUGAGAAGACAAUGCACUAUCUUUUUUAUAAUUCGCAGCAGACAGCAAUACAACAGCAGACUGCAACUGUCAUAUUCACAAAAUAUCUAUGGGCCAACCCUAGACCCGCAAUGGUGGAUUAGUCUCGCACAAGGCCACAGCAAAUAAUGACUUGUUGAAAAUAAUACAUUUUCAACAUUUGCUUUGUCAAUAAAACUCUGGAGCAUUAUUGUUGAGAGAAUUUGUGGAACAAAAAGAAGGCCAAGUUCGGAGGUUCUCUGCCUGUGCCUUGUGUUCAAGAGUUGGCCAAUAAUUCUAUGUUAGCUAUCCCUCCCAGAUACAUACGACCAGGCCAAGAUUUAACCACAAUUUCUGAUAAUAAUUUGGAUUCACGGCUAUUGCAGAGCUUGUUUUCUGAAGAGUCAACGGAUUCUGAGUUGUCCAGGCUCCACUUCGCUUGCAAAGAAUGGGCUUCUUUCCAGGUAAACUCCUUUGCCAAGUUAUUAUUAUUUUGCUUUUAAAGGAUUUGCUUGGGAUGAGACCUCAUCUACUAAAUACCACCCUUUGUCCCAUAUUGUUACUCGAGAGCAGAUAUCUGCAAAUUGCGAAUUACAUUCACAACCAGCUAAGCUACACCUGCCGUGAGGCACCCAAGUUUGUAUUUUUUUCCUUUGGACAUGCUUGGUUUAUUAAUAGUAGUCUGGCGUCAAGAAUUAAGAAAUCUGUAUACUCUCAAUCAAAGAGCACAGUCGAUCAAAUUCAGAUUAGAUUGUGUUUCAUUCUUAUAGGUCAAGUAGGCCACAAAUUUGGCCUACUCUGUAUCAAUGCUUUCUUACUCUGUAAGUUAGCAAUAAGAAAGCUCUAACAAAAUUUGAGUCUAGAUAGUCUUAACCAAGCCGGUUUAAGCACCCUUUUUUUUUAAAAAAAAAAAAAUUGUGGGAUGUAACUGACCUUGUCCGAUUAUGGACCACCUAACUUGCUUUCUUGUAUAGCUGAGAAGACAAACCUGCAUUCUUGAAAAUUAAAUUGUCUUUAAUAUCUUUCGGAUGUCUAGGCUUACGGUAGCUUGCGAAGAACUAUAAGCAAAUUUAUGAUGUAGUAUAAUGCAAAUGCGAUUCUAUUAGUUUAUUGAAAUCUAACAAAUAUGGAAGGAUUUGGACAAGCAUUUGUUAUAUCCGAGGAACAAAAGGUUGAUUGGAUUGACAUUUUCUUCAUGACAACUCUUCCAAUUCAUCUGAGGAAACCCCACUUGUUUCCUAAGCUCCCUCUUUACCCCUUAGAUUUCUCUCUCUCUCGUCAGUUAUUUGAUGGUUGCAAAUGUAUUAGGUUCAGAGAAAGAUCCCAAGUCAGUUAUAUUUAGUAAAAUUUGACAAUCAAACAUGAUUUUGAAAGAAUACUGUUAAAUAAUAACUUACUUAACAAUCCACCACAAUCAUAUACUAAACCUUCUAAUUGCGUCUUCUUUUUUCUUAUAGGAAAUCUUGGAAUUUAUUCAGCGGAGUUAAAAAUCUCUGGCCAUGAACGUGGUAUCGAAAAUGGGAAAAGUUCUAAAUAUCAAAGAUGAAGAAUUGAGAGAAUACUUUGAAAAUGGUUUCCAAUCAAUGGGGAUGAACUAUUACCCUCCAUGUCCUCAGCCGGAGAAGGUUGUGGGCCUCACAACUAAUUCUGAUGACUCUGUUCUUACCAUGCUGCUGGAAAUCAAUGAAGUAGAAGGUCUCCAGAUCAAGAAGGAUGGAAAGUGGAUUCCUGUUACACCUGUCCCAAAUGCUUUCGUUGUCAACAUUGGAGUCGUGUUGGAGGUGAUAAGUUAUUUUAACUUGACAUUCAUAUGAGCUAGCUAAUGUGUGCUUUCAUUAAUUCCCGUUGCUCCACUCCCUAAUGCUUUCAUUGUCGACAUUGGAGACACACUGGAGGUAAUAAUUAUAGUAAAUUACUUAACUUGGCAUUUAUAUGAGCCUGCUCAUGUGCUUUAAUAAUUUUUACAUGGCAGAUUGUAACCAAUGGGACAUACCGUAGCAUUGAGCAUCGUGUAAUUGUAAACUCUAUACAAGGAAGGCUUUCCAUUAGCACAGUUUACUUAGUGAUAUAUGAUGGUGAAAUGUACCCUACGUCCAAUUUGGUCUCUGAAAAUAAUCCUCUAUUGUUUAAAAGAGUGACAGUUGAAGAAUACUUUAGGAACCUGUGUGCUCGUAAGCUUAGGGGAAAAUCUCCUCUGGAUGCCUUGAGAAUUGAACAUGUUCAAGACUAGUAUAAGUUUAUUUUGGAUAACUAAAGAGUGUAGUACAAAAACCGUGGGGGACCUUGCUAUUGCAAUUUUGUGUGGAGCUAAAAAUAAGCAAUAAGUAUACGAAUAAUAAAUCCUUUGGUGAAAAUUAUCACCUAAAUUUAGGAAUAUACACGUUCUAUCACCAAAAAUCAAUAACAGAAUAUACGACAGCAUACCUAAGAUCAUAAUGCACAAUUUGUCUCUAGAGUCUAGUAGUUUGUCUUCCAAAUUAACAUGUUCUCCUAGAGAAUCCUUUAAAAUUCUCUGUGCACUCUCUCUAAUGAUGAGAUGUCAACAGAGAAUAGAACGAUACGUGUGACCUAGGGACAAUAACUACUUAUAUAAACAAAUUUUUCUUUUGUCUUUAUGUAUUCUUAUUCCAACCCAUCAUGGAAAUAGAAAAUAGUCUUAAGUCUCUGUACAUUAAAGGCCUACAAUUGAUUAGAUACAUUAAAGCCCAAAUUAUCGAAAACUUUAAUAGAUCAUUUUUAAUUUGCCUUAAACUUAUAUAAUAGUUCACAACAUAUAAUUAUUCACAUAUAAGCCCAACAUUGGAUCAAUGAUCUAACAAUGCUAGAUUAAAGAUCCAACAACCUUUCACUUGGGCUAUAUAUGUAACCUUAUAAUUAUACUUUGCAAAAAUAACCAUAUGAGCUCAAUUUUACUGUCAUUACUAAAAUGUAUCUAUAGUCAAUUCGGUCCAUCAAUCAUACCAACAAAGGAUCAAAACGACCUUUGUUACAACUAUCGUAACUUGACCCAUCAAUGCGCACUAUGCCAAUAUAGCUGAAUGACAUAGAUCAUGAUAUGGGCGUGUAGGAUGGAAAUUUCAUGUAAUGUGAUCUUAACAUGCCUAUUUCCAAUUGAUCCACCUUAAACUUUAGUGAGAUCAAAUUAUAUAAAAAUUAGAGUGUGAAUGAAUAAACCAAAACUUUAUUUCUGCAGAAAAUAACCUUAAAUAUCCCUAAACCGAAAAAUGUUUAUAUCAUAAGAACAUUUAAAAGUUACAAAAUCCCAUUAAAAAUGAAUAUCCUUUAAUGACACGACACCUAUAUGAACAGUGUGCCUACGAAAAAUUUUAGAUGGUAUUCCCUUAGUAAGCGGAUCCGUGAUCAUGGAUUUUGUACCAUUAUGCUUUAUAGACAAUUUUCCACUCUAAAUUCUUUAUUUAACAACUAGGAACUUGAUGUUUAUAUACUGUGACUUCGUCGAGCUCCUAUUGUUAUUGGAAUAUAGCACUGCUAACUUAUUGUCACAUAAUAACUUGAGUGGUCUAUCAAUACCAUCUAAAAUGUGUAACUCUGUGACGUAAUUCCUCAGCCAUAUUCUGUGAUUGGAUGUCUCGUUACAUGCUAUGAACUUUGCUAUUAUAGUAGAAGAGGCUAUAAGAGACUGCUCAACAGAUGUGGCUCGCUCUAAAAGAUAAGUUCAGUGGCACUUCGACUACUAAAUUGAGAAGGCUGAUGAUCAAGUUUGAUUCUUAUUGGAAUUGCCAAAAUCAUAUUAUGAGGCAGCAUCUAAGGGAGAUGUCAAACAUGAUUUGCGAACUUAAGGCUGCUGAACAUAUUUUGACUGAUGAACAAUAAGUCCAGGAAGUAAUAAGAUCUUUACUUGAUUCUUGGGUGCACAUGAUGGUGAAUAUGACUCACAAUGAAAGUAUUAGAACUUUCAAUGACAUAGAACAUCACCUAGAAUUAGAAGUAAAACGCCUUGAGGCAACUAAGCUUUUUGAUCGUGUUUAUUUGACCGAAUCAAAUUCGCACAAAGCUUCAAGCUUCAAGUGCAAAAGGGUCAUAAUUAUAACCAGAAUGGUGAGAAAUCUGAUCCUAAGAAGAGGAAUUUAGAUGCUAAGAAGCGCCCAAGGGGUAGACGCACUGACAAGAACAAUGACAAAUCUAAGAUGAAAUACUAUAAUUGUAGUGAGCCGGGUCACUUUGCUCGCGAGUGCACUGAGCCCAACUCCACUUUAUUAAAUUUUGUGUUAGUUAUGAGUUAUGUACUCCUAAUUGAUUCUCGUCCUAUGUAGACUGUAGACUCAGGAUCAACAGACUAUAUAGCUCGUGAUCAAAAUGCGUUUGUAGAGUAUCAUCAAAUUAGUCAAGGGACUAGAUGGAUAUACAUGGGCAACAACUCCAGAGUUGAAGCAAAAGAAAUAGACACCUACAAAUUGACUUUGCAUGGUGGAUGUAUUCUUUUAUUACACGAUGUCCUAUAUGCACUAGAGAUUCGACAAAACUUAGUUUCUGUUCCCAUUCUUCUUGAAUUAGGAUAUAAUUUAAACUUUUAUGAUUUUUUUUUGGAGAUUUUCUUAAAUUUAGUCCUUAUUAGAACUGACAUUUCGUUAAUGGUUUUAUUAUAUUAGAUACAAUACUUGAUAAUUCAAGUUAUGAUAAUAAUUGUUUUUCAUAUGCUACUUCUUUAAGUAAUAAUAAGAUAGAUGUUAUUACUUGGCAUGCUUGAUUAGGUCACAUAGGGCAAAAAAGAAUGAAUAGACUUACGAGAAAGGGCAUAUUGAGUUUACUUACCAAGGUUGAAUUGCCCAUAUGUGAGAAUUGUUUAGCUGAAAAAACAAUUAGAAAACCAUUUGACAAAGGAAUUAGAGUUGAAAAAUCAUUACAAUUAAUCCAUUCUGACAUCUGUGAUACAAUGAAUGUAAGGGCUAAACAUGGAGCCUCAUAUUUUAUAACAUUCAUUGAUGAUUAUUCAAGUUUCGGUCAUGUCUACUUGAUUUCUUAUAAAUCAGAAGCAUUGAAUUGCUUUAGAUUAUAUCUAAACAUGGUAGAGAAUCAACUAGAUAGUAAUGUUAAAGUUCUAAGGACUGACUGAUGACAUGAAUACCUUUCAAAGUAGUUCAAGGACUUGUGUAAUGAGAAAUGAAUAAAUAGACAACUGACUAUUUUUGGAACUCUGUAACAAAAUGGCAUGGCGGAAAGAAGGAAUAUAAUUUUUUUAGAAAUGGUUAGGUCAAUAAUGGCACACUCAAAUAUUCCAAUAUCAUAUUAGGGAGAUGCAUUGUUAACUACUGCCUAUAUAUUUAACCUAGUUCCUUCAAAAUCAGUUAGUUAUUCUCAUAUGAGUUAUAGACGGCUAAGAAACCUGACCUAUUUCAUUUGUGACCUUGGAGGUCUGUAGCUUAUGUUUAUAACUCCAUUCAUAAGUUUGGGAAAUUAGGAGAUAGAAGCAAAAAGCGUAUCUUUAUUAGAUACUCAGAACACUCCAAACGAUAUGUGUUCAUUGGUGAACAUGAAAGUGGAUUUUUAACUGAACUGGAAUCAUAGGAUGUUGAUGACUCUAUGAAAUGAAGUUAUCAUUAUAUUUCUAGACUUAAAUCAAGAUUUCUUAAAGAGUAAAUAAUGUCUUUCUAUUACUUUUUAAUGAUAUUUUGCAUUAACAUCCGUUUUAGUUUAAUUCUAGUAAAUUUUGUUUGGUUUCGAAUAAUCGUGUGCUUAAAUCAUAUACGCAAGUGUGGGUAAUUGGAAGUUUGAAUUUCAAGGACAAGAUGUUGUUGCAAUGAGCUUGCAAAAUGAAUGAAAGAACAUGGCUGUAGAAGAAUUAAAACAAGUCUGGAACAAUGCAGAUGUUGCAGACAUUGUUGUAGCAAUGUUAGAGCAUUGAUAGAGAAGAUUUCAUGUGAGGCACUUAAAAGAUUGAGAUAUGGAGUUUUCAAAUCUGGCAGAUACACACCCUAGACUUUCAGUUGCCCUAAGUUUUAUCUAUAAAAAGAGCACACAUGCAAAGGAAGAGAGAGGCCGUCAACCAAGAACAAAAACCGAAAAGAAAUAAAAGAAAAACAUAAUUCAAGAGCAAAAUUAAGGGCUGCAUCAUAGGAGAAUUUGUAGAAAUCAUUCAGGAACUUAGUCUUUCUUAGUCUUCUCUUGUUUUCUUGUUUAUUCUUUAAUCAUGAGGAUGCAUUUGCUGACCAAAACUCCAUUGUUCAUGUUUCUUUUACAUAUUAUAAACUAAAUUUAUUUGUGGUUGAGUGAUAAAUAAUCUUGAUGGUCCAUUGACUAUAUAAAUGUGUUGUUGUAUGCUUGCUAUAGCAUUUUAUUUUGAUGAUAUUUAUUUAUAUUCAUUAUUUCGGUUGACCACCCAUUUAAUGAUACAAGCUAAGAAAGAGCUACAAAAGGACUUAUCUUAAUGUAACAUAUCCGAGUAAUACUUGGUUUUAGAUUGGGUUUCUUGAGUUGAGUUUUACUUGAUUCCAAAAGGGCCAUGCCUAAUAUAAAAUUCGUGAUGAAUUAGACAUACGAAUUCACAUUGUAGGAUAAAUAGAACCUAAAUGUGUAAUGUUAUAUCUUAUGUUGGCAUAACAAUUGGUCACUAUUAGAUUGCAUAAGGAUAUAAGACAUCCAACAUGCGACAGUUGAGGAUACAAUAUGAUUUUGCCUAGUGCUGUAUCAAACGUUGUAGCAACCGAGCCAAAGAUUAGAAGAAACAGUCAAAACCAUUAAGAGAGUUUAAUCACUCAACUACUCCAUUCUCAUUGGCUUUAUUCUUAUGUUUGACAUGAGAAUUUUAUUUAUUGCCUUUUUAGUUAUUACAUUUUAUAGUUUAAUUAGUUAUUUAGUCUCAUUAAUUAUUUAGUCUAAAUUUAGAACACAAGCUGCACUGUUCAGGAUUAUUUUAGCAAUUCUGAUAACAUCAAUCCCUGUGGAGACGAUCUUGAAUAUUUAUCAUUAUAUUACUUAUUGUGUACACUUGCAUAUUGAUACUAAUAAUACAAGAAAAAUUGCAACAAAUGUCAGUUUUUUAGAAAAUGAAUUUUCUAGCAUUGAAGAAGUUGAUAAGGAUUUUCAAUUUUAUGAAUUAGAAGAUCCAAAUGGGGUUAUCACUUCUAAUGUCGAUAUUGGCAUUAGUACGAAUCCUCUGGGGAUUGUUACUCUGAGUGGGAGUGAAACACCGGACACUUCGAUUCGAAUUAAGGAAUCGACUUAGAAGAGUAGUCGUAAGUCAAUUCCUUGUCAUCAUUUUGAAAUUGAGGGAGAAGUUUUAUGAUUACUUCACACGAUAGUGAAGAGCCAAAUACUUUUAAUAAAGCUCUCACAUCGUCUACUAGGGAUUUAUAGAUGAAAGCAAUAGAAGAAGAGAUAAAAUCUAUGAAAGUUAAUCAAGUUUGGGACUUGCUUGAAUUUCUGCCUAAUCGUAAAAUUAUCAGAAAUAAAUGGGUUCUCCAUAUAAAAUGUAAAGUGGAUGGGACAAUCGAGAGAUACAAAAUAAGAUUAGUCGCUAAAGGCUAUACCCAAAAGGAGGGAAUAGACUAUAAAGAAACCUUUUCUCCUAUGGUAAGGUUUGCUUCUAUACGAUUAAUUUUGGUCAUUAUUGCACAUCUAGACCUUGAAUUGCAUCAGAUGGAUGUAAAUAUUGCAUUUCUCUAGAUAAUGAACUGAGAGGUAGGCAAAUUUGGUUUGGAUCAGUUUGAGACAAAUUAUCAAACCGAUCCAAACUGAUAUCGACCUAAAUUUUUUUUAAACCAAACCAACUAGAUUGGUUUUUUUCUUGGUUUGAGAUUAUUAGCUAAAAGCCCACCUCUUUUAUAUUGUUGUACCUAAAUUAUUUGUUAUUUUUUGUAUCCAUAAUCCAAAUUGAUAUCUCUUUUAUAUUAUUCAUAUCUACAUAACAAUUUAAAGAUACAUCCAUACAAGUUCACAACAGAAUACAUCCUAAUAAAGAAGUUCUCAACUUGUUCAUUCAAAACAAACUCACAAAAUUAAAAUAAACUUGAACAACAUUUGACAAUCAAAAUAUCGUGCAUCUUGUCCUUUAAAACUUAUGGCCCAAUUACUUUUGAUUUGUCAAAAUCUGCAUAAAAUGACAAAAUGAUAGAUUGCUUAACUUAGAAAAUAAUAUAAUUAUACUAUAUGUAAAGCAUAGGUACCUUGCUCCACAGACGUACAUAAUUCCAAAUCACUAAAGUAUGAUGACAAUACUUCUACAUCAAACUUCCUAAUAAUUUUUUCAUCCAUACCAGAUGCUUUAAGCCAUUGUUGACUAUAUAUCAAAGUCUCUACCAUUGUAGGGGUUAAUGAACUUCGAAAUGCAUAGACUACACGACCUCCAGUAUUAAAAACAGGUUCAGAAGCCACAGUAGAUACAGGAAUUGCUAACAUAUCCUUUGCAAUUUGUGACAAAGUCCCAAACCUUGCACUAUUUGCAAUCCACCAACUCAAAACAUCAAACUAAUCAUCAGUUUCAUCCUCACUAGGUUAGAACAAAUACCUUUCUACCUCAUUUUUCAAAUCAAUGGAAUCUUUCUGCACUUUUAACUGCUUAUAUUGAGUCUUUGUAUUAAUAAAUGCAUAGUCCUUGCCACUUUUCCUUCUUAAACCCACAUCAAUUGCCAAAACAUCAUUAGUAGAUUGGCUACCAUCACCAGAAGUAGAUUCUACAAGACAAUAGGUUUUACAUAGCUAUGAACAUAAAUUUAAGUAAAUAUGAAUACAGUUACAAAAAAAAAGAAAAAAGUAACUAUUGUUAUAACUGAAUCUAAUUUGAAAGUUUAAGAAUACACCUUUAAAAGUAGCUUCUUAAUGUUUGAUGUAAUUUCUUUCGCUUUCUCAAGAUUAUGCAAAUUUUCAAAGCAAAAUGACACAUAAUCAAAUUUGUACCUUAGAUAUGAAAUGAAUUAGAGUAAAUAAUUAUCACAAUUGAUUUUAUCAUAAAAAAUAAAAAUUCAAAUGAAAUAACAGAUUUUUACCUUGGAUCAAGUACCACAGCAAUGAUCAAUAGUUGAUGUAUAGUGUCCAUAGAACCCCAAUACUUGUCACACUUUAUUUUCAUUUUUUCUGCCCUUUUACUAAGAAGCACCUCUUUUUUUUUUCAAUGAAUGAAUGCAACUAGGUUUGAAUGGUGCAAAGAUGAUGAAAAUACAAGUUAGACAUGACAAAUAAUAAAGCACUGUAUUCAACUAUACCAUUAUUCACAAAUUUCAAAAACUCGAUAAAUAUUGCAGCAUUUUUCCAAUCUUCAGUUGUGGGUGGCCUGAUAUGUUCUGCUUUCCUCUCAUUGAAAAAACUCAUAUAUGGUCCAUCACAUUCCUCUUCUUUCAGACUUUCAAAAGCUUUCUGAAAGUGUAUAGCUAUGGACAACAUAGUGUAGAUAUAAUUCCAUCUAGUGGGCACAUGAUAUGCUAAAAGCCCUUCAUAUUCAAUUUUCUCUCUCUCAACACAUGAUUUAAAUUUAUAAUGAUAACUCUAUGAAAUGAGAGUUAUCAUGGCACUUUGAGACUUAAAUCAUGAUUACUUAGAGAGUAAAUGACAUGUUUUUAUUGCAUUUUAGUAAUGUUUUGAAUAAACAUUCCAUUUUAGUUUACUUUUAAUAAGUUUUGUUUGAUUCAGAAUAAAUUGUAUGCUUAAAUCAUAUGCAUAAUUGUAAGUGACCGGAAGCUCAAAUUUCAAGAAAGGAAUACGGCUGCAAUAGGCUUGUAAAGAUAAGGAAAGAACGUAAUUAGAGAAGAAUUGAAACAAGUCUGGAACAGUGUAGAUGCUGAAGCCAUUGUUGUAGCACUGUUGUUGUAGCAUCGUUGUUAUAGAUUUUCUGGAGCAUUGACAGAGAAGAUUUUACGCGAGAUACUUUGAAGUUUGCGGUCUGGAGUUUUCUAAAUUAGAAGAUGCACAUUCUAGGCUUCCAGUUGCCCUAAUUUUAAGCUACAAAAUGAGCACACAUGCAAAGAAAAGGGAGCCGUCAUUGGAGAAGAAAAAUAGAUAAACAACACAAGAAAAAACAAAGAUCAAGAGAGAGAAUUGAGGGCUGCAACUAAGGAAUUCGAGAAGAACAUCAAGCGGAUCUCACUCUUAUUUUUUGUUCUCUUGUUUCUAUCUCGUUAUGAUGAAUUGUUUGAUGGCUGAAACUAUUUUACUUCUUGUUUUAUCCCAAAUUAUGAACUAAAUUUAUUUGUGGUUGAAUAAUGAACAAACUUGAUGGUUAAUUGACUAAUAUUCUGUGUUGCUACAUGUUUGCUAUAGCACGUUGUUUUGAUAAUACUUAUUUCAAUUUACUAUUUCAAUUUACUAUUUCGGUUGACCACCCAUUUAGUGAUACUAGUUAAGAAAGAACCUAAAAAAGACUUGUCUUAGUGGAACAUAUGAAAGCAAUACGUGGUUUUAGAUUGGGUUUCUUGAGUUGGGUUUAACUUGAUUUGAAAAGGGUCAUGCUUAAUAUAAAAUUAGUGAUGAACUAGAUAUAUGGAUUCACCUUGUAGUGUAAUUAGAAUCUAAAAUGUGUAAUGUUAUAUACGAUGUUAGCAUAACAAUUGGUCACUGUUAAGUUGCAUUUAGAUAUAAGUUAUCCAACAUGCGACAGCUGACAAUACAUAAGGAUUCUGCCCAGUGCUGUAGCAAAUGCUAUAGCAAUCGAGCCAACAUUAGAAAAAUAGUCAAAACCAUUAAGUGAGUUUAAUCGCUCAACUACUCCAUUCCCCUUGGGAACAUCCUUGUAUUUGCUGUGUUGCUACAUGUUUGCUAUAGCACGUUAUUUUGAUAAUACUUAUUUCAAUUUACUAUUUCGGUUGACCACCUAUUUAGUGAUACUAGUUAAGAAAGAACCUAAAAAAAACUUGUCUUAGUGGAACAUAUCAAAGCAAUACGUGGUUUUAGAUUGGGUUUCUUGAGUUGGGUUUAACUUGAUUUGAAAAGGGUCAUGCUUAAUAUAAAAUUAGUGAUGAACUAGAUAUAUGGAUUCACCUUGUAGGGUAAUUAGAAUCUAAAAUGUGUAAUGUUAUAUAUGAUGUUAGCAUAACAAUUGGUCACUGUUAAGUUGCAUUUAGAUAUAAGCUAUCCAACAUGCGACAGCUGACAAUACAUAAGGAUUCUGCCCAGUGCUGUAGCAAAUGCUAUAGCAAUCGAGCCAACAUUAGAAAAAUAGUUAAAACCAUUAAGUGAGUUUAAUCGCUCAACUACUCCAUUCCCCUUGGGAACAUCCUUGUAUUUGCUGUGUUGCUACAUGUUUGCUAUAGCACGUUGUUUUGAUAAUACUUAUUUCAAUUUACUAUUUCGGUUGACCACCCAUUUAGUGAUACUAGUUAAGAAAUAACCUAAAAAAGACUUGUCUUAGUGGAACAUAUCAAAGCAAUACGUGGUUUUAGAUUGGGUUUCUUGAGUUGGGUUUAACUUGAUUUGAAAAGGGUCAUGCUUAAUAUAAAAUUAGUGAUGAACUAGAUAUAUGGAUUCACCUUGUAGGGUAAUUAGAAUCUAAAAUGUGUAAUGUUAUAUAUGAUGUUAGCAUAACAAUUGGUCACUGUUAAGUUGCAUUUAGAUAUAAGCUAUCCAACAUGCGACAACUGACAAUACAUAAGGAUUCUGCCCAGUGCUGUAGCAAAUGCUAUAGCAAUCGAGCCAACAUUAGAAAAAUAGUCAAAACCAUUAAGUGAGUUUAAUCGCUCAACUACUCCAUUCCCCUUGGGAACAUCCUUGUAUUUGUUGUGUUGCUACAUGUUUGCUAUAGCACGUUGUUUUGAUAAUACUUAUUUCAAUUUACUAUUUCGGUUGACCACCCAUUUAGUGAUACUAGUUAAGAAAGAACCUAAAAAAGACUUGUCUUAGUGGAACAUAUCAAAGCAAUACAUGGUUUUAGAUUGGGUUUCUUGAGUUGGGUUUAACUUGAUUUGAAAAGGGUCAUGCUUAAUAUAAAAUUAGUGAUGAACUAGAUAUAUGGAUUCACCUUGUAGGAUAAUUAGAAUCUAAAAUGUGUAAUGUUAUAUAUGAUGUUAGCAUAACAAUUGGUCACUGUUAAGUUGCAUUUAGAUAUAAGCUAUCCAACAUGCGACAGCUGACAAUACAUAAGGAUUCUGCCCAGUGCUGUAGCAAAUGCUAUAGCAAUCGAGCCAACAUUAGAAAAAUAGUCAAAACCAUUAAGUGAGUUUAAUCGCUCAACUACUCCAUUCCCCUUGGGAACAUCCUUGUAUUUGUUGUGUUGCUACAUGUUUGCUAUAGCACGUUGUUUUGAUAAUACUUAUUUCAAUUUACUAUUUCGGUUGACCACCCAUUUAGUGAUACUAGUUAAGAAAGAACCUAAAAAAGACUUGUCUUAGUGGAACAUAUCAAAACAAUACGUGGUUUUAGAUUGGGUUUCUUGAGUUGGGUUUAACUUGAUUUGAAAAGGGUCAUGCUUAAUAUAAAAUUAGUGAUGAACUAGAUAUAUGGAUUCACCUUGUAGGGUAAUUAGAAUCUAAAAUGUGUAAUGUUAUAUAUGAUGUUAGCAUAACAAUUGGUCACUGUUAAGUUGCAUUUAGAUAUAAGCUAUCCAACAUGCGACAGCUGACAAUACAUAAGGAUUCUGCCCAGUGCUGUAGCAAAUGCUAUAGCAAUCGAGCCAACAUUAGAAAAAUAGUCAAAACCAUUAAGUGAGUUUAAUCGCUCAACUACUCCAUUCCCCUUGGGAACAUCCUUGUAUUUGCUGUGGUAUUUUACUUUAUUGCAUUUUUCUCAUUGCGUUUUUAUUUUUAUUAUUUCAUUAGUUUAAUAAUUUGUUUUAAUUCUUGUUUAUAAUAAAAAUUGCACUAAUAAAAUUGUUGUAGCAAUUCCUAUAACAACCUAUGGAGACAAUCUUGAAUAUUCAUCAUUAUAUUACUUAUUGUGUACACUUGCACAUUGACAUCAAUAGCAUUAGAAAACCUGCAACAUGCAACCUCAAACCAGAAGACCUCACAUAUAUAAUUGCAUUGCAAAUGCUAGUAAUUAAGUCAUGCAUCUCUUUCAGCCGUUCAGUCACAAUUAUAUUAACAAUAUGGGCACAACACCACAAAUGUGAAUAAUCUCCAUCUAAAGUCAUUGCAUCACCCUUCCAAUUUUUCAACUUUUUUUUUCAAAUAAUUGAUAGAAACGUCAUUAGCACUCACAUUAUCAACUAUAACAGUCAUCACUUUUUCUAUACCUCAAUCAAGUUAGCAUUUUUUAAUAAGGUUGCCGAUUAAGUCCCCUUUGUCGCUUGUUAUUUGGAAAAAAAAAUUCAAAAUUUUCAUAUGCAAUUUCCAAUUAUGAUCAACCCAAUGGGUUGUCACAACAUAUAAUUAAAAUUUUUUAUGGAAGUCCAAAUGUUUGUGGUAAUAGAAACUCUAUACUUAUUUGCAAUAAAAAUAUUUUUGAAUGCUGCAUUCUCAACUAAAUACAGUUGAUAUAUAUCUCUAACAAGUGUUCCCCUCGAAGGAGGGCCAAAUCUAGGAUAAAGUUUAUCUCACAAAAGAUGAAACCUAUAAGACUCUACCUUCCUAAAUGAAACCUUAUUAAGAAUAAAAUACAUAACUACAUUCUUCCUACAAUCCUCCUGAUCAAACUUUCCAGCAAUCCCCAACCCAAUACCAUACACAAUAUUCCCAGUGCCACUACCACUUGCCAUAUUAGACUUUUUUUUCUUAUCACGGAAGCGAGCUAAUUUAACUCGAGUCACAUAAUCCAAAGUAGCCCAAUAUUUUUCACAUUGUUCUCUUAAGUGAGUCCACAAAUUAAAAGUCUCAUUAAACUUACUAUCACACUUAUACUAGUUCCCACAAUAUUUGCACUUACAUGUCCUAUUCACUUAAUCUUUGAUUUAAUGAGGCCAAACUUUUGAACCCCUUUCACUGUCAUGAAGACGACCACUCCCUGUUCUAGAUUUCCUACUUUUAGGUUCUAGAAAAUCAUCCAUCAAUAUUUCUCCAUUUUCUAUGAUAUUAUUCACAUUGGAAUUAUCUUCCAUGUUGAGAGCUUCUAUAAUUAAUAAAAAUUAAAAAACAUUAGUUAUGGAAUCAAUUAAUCAAAUAAAUUAUCAUCAAUUAUACCAAAAUCCAUUUUAACUUUUGACUAAAAUAAAAUAAAAUUGUAGCAAGUAAAAUAAAAUCAAAACAUGCCAUUUUGUUCCCAUUUUUAAAAUUAUGACUAUGAGACUUGAGAAUGAGCGAUUGAGAUUGAGAGAGUUGAGAAUGAUAGGAGGCACUGGAGGUUGAGGCAGCUGUGAGUGUUGGACAAUUAGGUUUUUGUGUUUUUGUUUUUAUAAUAAGAAGUAUGCUAUUGUGUAUGAAAGUGUACAUUUCUUCUGUUAAUAAUCCAAUAAUAAAUUGACACAUCAUAUGUCUUAAAGCUUUAUAAAUUUUCUAGAUUGGAUUGGUUUGCCGAAAUCCAAAUCGAGUGAUGUCGGUUUGCAAUCCAAUAAAUCAAAACUAGUUUUUUUACUAAUGAAACCGAUCCAAAUGGUCGGUUUGGAUAGGUUCAGUUAAAAUAUGCCCACUUGUAAUAGAACCUUAAAUUCUAUCAAGCUAUAGUUUCUUAGCUUUAGGAUGGUUAAGGAAGACCAUUGUGUGUACAUUAAGAGAUAUAAAGACGCUUUUACAAUAUUGACUUUGUAUAUGGAUGAUAAAUUAUUGGCAGCAAAUAGUAAAGAGUUUGUCAAAAUUAUUAAAGAUUGGCUACAUUCAAAUUUUGACAAGAAAGAUAUCGGCGAAGCAACUUAUAUCUUAGGGGUCAAAAUUUUUAAGGAUCGUUCAAGGAAAUUUAUGGCUCUGUCACAAGAGUCUUACAUUAAGAAAAUCAUUGAAAGAUUCAAUGUGGCUGAUUGUAAGCACAAGGAUACCCCUAUAGCUAAAGGACAAUCUUUUAGUCUCGAUAUGUGUCCCAAGACUCCUCAAGAAAAAGAAAGAAUGACUAGAGUUCCUUUUGCAAAUGCCAUUGGAAGUCUUAAGUGUGUCAUAAUGUGUAUAAUGCCUGAUAUUAGUUAUGUUGUAGGACUAGUAAGUAGAUACCAGUCUAAUCCUGGUCAGAGGCAUUGGAGUACUGUUAAAAGGAUUUUAGCAUAUCUCAAAUGCACUGCAAAUUAUUGUUUAUGCUAUCAAGGAGGUGGUUUGCGGCUUGUUGGAUAUUCAGAAGCCGACUAGGGUGGUGAUCUGGAUUAGCGCAAAUCGGCUUCAAGAUAUGUAUUCUUGCUAAAUAGAGGAACAAUUACAUGGAGUAGCAAGAAGCAAACAUGCACGACUUUAUCAAUGGUGGAAGCCGAAUAUAUUGCAUGUUCUGCAGUAGUGCAAAAAGUUAUGUGACUUAAGAGAUUUAUAGAGAACUUAGAGAUUAAUAUUAGUAAUGAUAAUCUAGUGACUAUCUAUUGUGACAAUCAAGCUACUAUCCCUUUCUCUAAUGAUGCUAAAUACCAUACCAAAUCGAAACACAUUGAGUUAAAUACAAUUUUGUAAGAGAUAUUUUGGCAAAGAAAGAAGUAGUCAGCCGUACAAUAUAUAUCUACACAGAGCAUGAUAACUGAUCCACUUACCAAAGCUGUAAUAAGGGAUGUAUUCGCCUAUCAUGCUAAAUCAUUAGGGCUACGUAGAUUAUAAAUUACUACUAUUAAGAUGUACUUAUUUGUUAUAAACAUCUUCAUUACAUAAGUUGUUUGAAAAUGUAAUAGUAUCUCUUAUUUCAAUUUAUUCCAUGAAAGACAUAAUUACACAUAUAUAAGAGUAUGUCGUCAGGUCCAGACUAGUAUUUUUACACAAGCGGUCACCUCAAUUGCUUUAGGAGCAAGAUGAGAUGAGACAAGUAGAAUAAUAAAACAAUAUUUUUGUGUGAGAGCCAAAUAAAAAGCAUUAUUCUACAAGUUUUUUUGCCUUGACUAGAAUCAAGAGGUCUCACACGAUUUUCAUUAUAGACUGACUAUGAUAUACCCCACCAUCAUGGAGACUUGAUUGAAGCUAGAUGUGAGAUCUUACUUUUUACGCUAGAAGACAGCGUUCAUUCUAAAAGAGUGACUAGACUAAGAUCUAUAGUCCUGGAAUGGAAAAUUUAUCGUAACACGUGUAUCAUACCACGCGUGCUUGGUAAUCAAAAUGGAAAAUGAAAGAAUCUUCAAUCUUUCUCAUUGUGUAAGUUUCAUAUAACUUUUUAUAAGUCAAUCCUGGUAUCAUCUUCUUCUCUUCUUCGUGAAGAUUAAAAUUAAGAACAUUGAACAAUCCAUAAAAAGGGCAUUUAUACUGUGAUCAGAUAAGGAUUUCCGCUUGCGAUUUCUUCUGACCAUUAACAUGAUCCAAUACUCGAUUACUCCGCUGCUGAAUUCAAUAAGAAAAAUAUUUCUAGAAUUUUCAUUUUUCCUUCAGACCAUGUAAGAAGCAUACGAACAGGAUGAUCCGGAGUCAAAAGGUGAACGAGGUGACGGCUCGUCCGUUAGUACUAUUAAUGUAUAAGGUAAUAUGGGAAUUACUAAUAAUUAAUCGACUAGCUGAUUUGUUAGUUAUGAUUAUCAAUGACGGUCUAUUUCCUGCCCAUAUUUUACCAUGCUGUUGAAUGGUCCCCUUAAAAUAAUCCAGAUCAGUCAUUUGCAUAAAAAUAUAUCAUGAGCGGUUAGGUGGAGGAUGCUGAUUUGUUAGAAAAUAAUUGUUUUCAACUCUUGCGAUUGUCUGCACCCUGCACUCUUGUUCCAAAACCAAUACAAAGCUGUAGCAAUCUUAAGAGGAUUUGUGGAACAAAAGAUGGCCAAGAUUGGAGGUUCUCUGCUUGUUCCUUGUGUUCAAGAGUUGGUCAAGAAUCCUAUGUUAGUUGUCCCUCCUAGAUACAUUUGUCCGGACGAAGAUUCACCACUCAAUUCUGAUCAUACUUUGAUUUCACAGAUACCAGUUAUUGACAUGCAGGGCUUGCUUUCUGAAGAAUCAAUGGAUUCUGAGUUAGCCAAGCUCGACUUCGCUUGCAAAGAAUGGGGUUUUUUCCAGGUAAAAUGCUUUAGCAGAGUUAGAAAGAUUUUUCAUGCUUGUCUGUGAUUUAAGAAUCAUGAAAUCUGCAAAACUCUCAGUCACAAAUUAUCUAUUUUUGAAACCCAGUUUCCAUUGAUUUAGCAUGUCAUGAUUUCAAAUUUCCCAUCUAGUCCUUUUGCUGCUUUCAGUGCUUCUAGGACUGCAGCUUGUGAAAUGUCAAGGAAGUUGUCUCUUGUUUUAUUGUACAAUUUAUGAGGCGAUAUGAGAAGAAAACACUCACCAUUUAUUUCUGAAACCCAGAUUCCAUUGAUAUAUUUGUUUUUGACUUUCUUUAUUACUUUACCUUUCCAUAUAGCCAUAGAUUUGUUAGUAUAAUUUGUAUUAAAAGAUGCCCAUGACAAAGUUCACCUAUUUUGUCUCAAUAGCUUUUGGUAGCUUAUGAGAAAUAUGCUUCUGUCAAUAUGUGAUUAAAGAUAUCGUAAUUGUAUAAGACUCCCGCAGAUUAUUAGCUGUUCUAGAAUAUUCAAAUUUCUCCAAAACUAUGACUAAAAAACACUUGUAAAAAUCAAUCAUUGAUUAGAUUUAUAAACAAAAUAAAAUUGGUGUUUAAUGCAACAGCAAUGUUCUCAGUUGAAAUGUAACAAAUGCUUUUAGCCAUCUUUGAUAGCAAAUCUUGUCUCUAAAUUAGUCAAAUAAGUUGCAAUCUGUCUUCAUAAAACGCCUGGACGAUUGUGAACCUAGUGGCACGAUUAUCAAAUCUUAGCUGCUGUUCAUUCCUGCAUAAUUUCAGCUGGUAAACCAUGGAGUAAGCUCAGCAUUUCUAGAGAAAGUGAAGAAAGAGGUUAAGGGCUUCUUCAAUCUCAGCAUGGAAGAAAAGAAAAAAUAUUGGCAGCAUCCAGGAGAUGUAGAAGGAUUUGGACAAGCCUUUGUUGUAUCUGAGGAACAAAAGCUUGAUUGGGCUGACAUUUUCUCCAUGAUCACUCUUCCAGUUCAUCUGAGGAAGCCACACUUAUUUCCUAAGCUCCCUCCUUCCCUCAGGUUCUCUCUUUUUGUGGUUGAUAUGGAUUUGCAAACAAAAAGAGAAAAUUAAACCUUCUAUGAUUCUAUCUAAUGUUUUACCUUCUUUUUUCUUGUAGAGACACCUUGGAAGUUUACUCGAUGGAGUUAAAAUCUCUGGCCAUGAACCUGAUAUCGAAAAUGGGAAAAGUUUUAAAUAUCAAAGAUGAAGAAUUGAGAGAAUUCUUUGACAAUGGUUUCCAAUCAAUGAGGAUGAACUAUUACCCUCCAUGUCCUCAACCAGAAAAGGUUAUGGGCCUCACCCCUCAUUCUGAUGGCUCUGCUCUUACCAUUCUGCUACAAAUCAAUGAAGUAGAAGGUCUCCAGAUCAAGAACGAUGGAAAAUGGAUUCCUAUCACACCGCUGCCAAAUGCUUUCAUUGUCAACAUCGGAGACACAUUGGAGGUAAUAAUUAUGAUUACUUUCCUUGGCAUUUUUAUGUCCCUUCUCAUGUGCUCUAAUAUUUUUAACAUUGCAGAUUAUGACCAAUGGGACAUACCGUAGCAUUGAACAUCGUGCAAUUGUGAACUCUAUACAAGAAAGACUUUCCAUUGCCACAUUUUACACAAAGAGAUUAGAUGGCGAAAUAUAUCCAGCAUCCAGUUUGAUAUCUGAAAAAACUCCUGCAUUGUUUCGAAGAGUGACAGUUGAAGAAUACUUUAGGAGCCGGUUUGCUCGUGAGCUUAGGGGAAAAUCUCACCUGGAUGACCUGAGAAUUCAACAUGGUCGAGGCUAGUACAAUUAUUUUGGAUAAUUGCAGAUUUGUGCCAGGAAUUUUCUGAUGAUAAUUGUGCUUAUUUUGGAUCAGUUUCUUUCAUUUUUGGAAUAGAAUUUUUGCAGGCUUGUCAUGUUUUUAUCAGAUUUCAAGAACUAUUUCACUUGCUUUCGGAGUUAAAGAUGAUUCAAAUAUGAUAUUAAAUACUUAAGCAUGCCAUUCUAACGCUUGCUUGUCCAAUUACAUCCUUAUCAACAAUAUAUUUUGUUACAAUGUCACUGAAGUUGAAUAGAUAACAACAUGCUUGGGUUAUAUGUUGUCAUUUGGCUUAACCAUCCGUCACAUUAAGCAGAUUGUUGUGAUAAUGUGUUUUACAACCUUCCCCAGUAGCAUGAAUGUAGUUAAAAUAAUUGUAACAAAUUUUGUAUUGCUUGUAGCAACAUUGUUCUCCAUAGCACACAUUGCCUGAGUACAAAAGUUGUAACUUGUUACCAAUAAUAAUAAUAAAAAAUAAUAAUAAUAGUAAUAAUAAUUAUCAAUAACUAAAAAUGAGACAGAUGUUACUUUCAUAAGUGGAACUUGGAUUCACAAGCAAAAUAUGAGGUUUUAAUUGGUUGUUAUCAGAAAAAAAUAUAAAGAUAAUUAAUGCCUAAACAUAAACAGCUAUAAUUGUAUAAAUGACUAAUCGAUUACAAUUCGAAUCCACUAUUUUCUUAAUAGUGCACAGUCAAUUCCAACACAGCACCAGAUUGCAGCGUGUUAGAAAAAUUUUUAGGUAAUCAUAUAUAUGUUUUAAUCAAUUAUGAUAAUAUGUUUACCCAUAUAUAAGAUUUGAAUAGAUAAAAAGUAAUACUCGAGAACCACCAAAGUCCUUUUAACUGCAGACACGCAAUGGUGGAUUACUCGCACAAGUCAAGAGCAAAAUACCAAGUUGUGAAAGAAAAAUAAAAAGGGGAAAAGAAAACAAAACGCAGUAUUGAAAAUACCUUCGCCUUUUGGGUUGAUGACAAGGUGGGAACCACAAAUAAUUAAUUGGCUGAUGGUUUGUCAUCGUUAUCCAUAGAGGAUAGUUUUGACCUGCGAAUAUUUUAUUUUGCAUUCGAAACAUGUGCAAAAAAUUAAAAAUACUUCAUGAAUGGUUAGGUGGAGGAUGCUGAUUAAUUACUUGGAAAAAGAUUCCUUUUUACUUUUGUGAUUGUCAGCACUCAGUCUUGUUCCAAAACCAAUACAAAGCUGCAGCAAUCUUGAAAGGAUUUGAGGAACAAAAGAUGGCCCAGAUUGGAAGUUCUCUCCUUGUGCCUUGUGUUCAAGAGUUGGUCAAGAAUCCGGCGUUAGUUGUCCCCGACAGAUACAUACGUCCAGAUCAAGAUUCACCCCUCAUUUCUGAUGAUAUUUUGAUUUCACAGAUACCAGUUAUUGACAUGCAAAGCUUACUUUCUAAAGAAUCAAUGGAUUCUGAGUUAGCCAAGCUCGACUUCGCAUGCAAAGAAUGGGGUUUUUUCCAGGUAUAAUGCUUUAGCAAAGUUAGAAAAUUGUUUCGCCAGAACAUGCUUGUUUGUGAUCAAGAAUCGAGAAAUAUGCAAAUUGUCAAUCAAAUAGGCAAAAUUAAAAUUCAUAUUUAUUUCUUAAACCCACGUAUCAUUGAUGUUAGCAGAUCAUGGUUUCACUUUCCAGUGUUGUCUGUGGCUUAGGACUGCAGCUUGUGAAAAGAAGAACUUGUCUCUGGUUUAUUUAUUAUUGACUUUCUAUAUUGCUUUACCUUUUCUCCCUCCAGGCAUGGUUUAAUUAGCUAUUUCAUUCCUAAAUGUCAAACAGGCAAUAUGUAUUAAAAAGAUUGUCUUGAGAAAUUUCACCUCCUCUGCCUCAAUAGCUUUUGGUACCUUAUGAGAAAUAUGCUUCUGUCAAAAUUUUAAAAGAUAUACUAUAGUAAAUUGUGUAAGACCUCUUAGAAAAUGUACUCAUUUCUGUAGUCAAUGUUGCAAAUUUACUUUAAUUUAAAGACAAUUAGAAGUAACAUUGAGAUUAUUUGCUGUUGUAUGAUUUUUCAAAUUCUAGGUGUGAACAAACCACAAGAACUUUAUGCUCAUUAUAGUUAUUCUAGAAUAACCAAAAUUUCUCCGAUAGAAUGAGUAGAAAACACCUGUGGAAACUAAUUGUUGGGAAGAUUUAAAUGUAACAAAUGCUUUUAGCCAUCUUUAAUGGUAAAUCUUAUCUCUAAAUCAGUCAGAUAAGUUGCAAUCUGUCUUAAUAAAACACCUGGACUAUUGUGCGCUUAGUGGCACGAUUAUUAAAUCUUUGCUGCAUUUCGUUCCUGUAUUUUUUUCAGCUGGUAAAUCAUGGAAUGAGCACAGCAUUUCUAGAGAAAUUAAAGAAAGAGGUUGAGGGAUUCUUCAAUCUCAGCAUGGAAGAAAAGAAAAAAUAUUGGCAGCGUCCAGGAGAUAUGGAAGGAUUUGGACAAGCCUUUGUUGUAUCGGAGGAACAAAAGCUUGAUUGGGCUGACCUUUUCUCCAUGAUGACUCUUCCAGUUCAUCUGAGGAAACCACAUUUAUUUCCUAAGCUCCCUCCUUCCCUCAGGUUCUCUCUCUCUCUCUCUCUGUGUCAAUGUCAUUUUGAUUUGCAAACAAAUAAAGGAUAGUGCAUCUUCUUUUCCUGUAGAGAGACCUUGGAAGUUUACUCAAUGGAAUUAAAAACCCUAGCCGAGAACCUAAUAUCGAAAAUGGGAGAAGUGUUAAAUAUCAAAGAUGAAGAAAUGAUAGAAUUCUUUGAAAAUGGACUGCAAGGAAUGAGGAUGAAUUAUUACCCUCCAUGUCCUCAGCCCGAGAAGGUUAUGGGCCUGUCGCCGCAUUCUGAUGCAGCUGCACUUACCAUUCUGCUACAACUUAAUGAAGUGGAGGGUCUCCAGGUAAAGAAGGAUGGAAAGUGGAUUCCUGUUACCCCACUCCCGGAUGCUUUCAUUGUCAACAUUGGAGACACAUUGGAGGUAAUAAUUAUAAUAAAUUACCUUAACCUGGCAUUUUUAUGCGCUUGCUUAUGUGCUUUAAUAAUUUUUACAUGGCAGAUUAUAACCAAUGGGACAUACCGCAGCAUUGAGCAUCGUGCAGUUGUAAACUCUGUACAGGAAAGACUUUCCGUUGCCACAGUUUACUCAGUGAGAUAUGAUGGUGAAGUGUAUCCUGCCUCCAGUUUGAUCUCUGAAAAAACUCCUCCUUUGUUUAGAAGAGUGAGAAUUGAAGAAUACUUUAGGAGCCGGUAUGCUCGUGAGCUUAGGGGAAAAUCUCAGUUGGAUUCCCUGAGAAUUCAACAUGGUCAAGGCUAGUAUAAGUUUAUUUUGGAUAACUAAAGAGUUUGGUACAAAAACUCUUAAGGACCUUGCUAUUAAGAUUGGCGUGGAACUGAAAAUAAGAAAUAAGUUCUAUGAAUACUGUGGUAUAACCUGCUAUGCUAGGGUCGUUGUGUAGCUCUAUCAUUUGAGAUACUGAAUAGACCAUGUAAGAAUCUUAAGAAUUGCAGACUUAUGCCUGGAAUCUUCCGAUGAUAUAUGGUGGUGCUUAUAUCAGAUCAGUAUCUUUCUUUCUUGAAAUAGAAUUUUUGCAUACCUGACUUGUUUUUAAUGAGAUUUCAAGGACUAUAUGACUUGGUUUCAAAUUUUUAUGAUACAUACAGAUAAUAUUACCACAGAACCAGUGUAGUUUCUGUAUCAGCCGUUAUAGUUUUCAGUUAAUAGUAACAAGUUUUUGAUUUUUAACAAGAAUGUUGUCCUUCCACGUCUUAAAUAUUCCGUUCCAUAACACACAUUGUGACGAAUACAUAACUUGUUACCAUUGACGAAAAAUUUUGCCAUCAAUAGCUGAAAAUAGAUGUUAGUUACACAAGCUGCAAAGCUAUAACUUUGGAUUUCAUAUUCAGAUUGUCCCUCUCAAAGUUGAACUUGGAACUACGGUUGAUGAUCUGCUAUUAUGCUGAGAAAAAUACAAGAUUUUUUUUUUGGUUGUCAUCAGACAAUGUAAAAGAAAUUAGCAUGGGAUCCAAAUUCUUGAGAGUUUGAUAAGGCAAUGCACUAUAUUUUUUUAUAACUCGCAGCAGACAGCAGCACAACAGCAGACUGCAACUGUCAUAUUCACAAAAUAUCUAUGGGCCAACCCUAGACCCGCAAUGGUGGAUUAGUCUCACACAAGGCCACAGCAAAUAAUGACUUGUAGAAAAUAAUACAUUUUCAACAUUUGCUUUGUCAAUAAAAAUCUGUAGCAUUAUUGUUGAGAGAAUUUGUGCAACAAAAAGAAGGCCAAGUUCGGAGGUUCUCUGCCUGUGCCUUGUGUUCAAGAGUUGGCCAAGAAUCCUAUGUUAGCUAUCCCCCCAGGUACAUACCACCACGCUAAGAUUUAACCACAAUUUCUGAUAAUAAUUUGGAUUCACGGGUAUUGCAGAGCUUGUUUUCUGAAGAGUCAAUGGAUUCUGAGUUGUCCAGGCUCCACUUCGCUAGCAAAGAAUGGGCUUCUUUCCAGGUAAAGUCCUUUGCCAAGUUAUUAUUAUUUUGCUUUUAAAGGAUUUGCUUGGGAUGAGACCUCAUCUACUAAAUACCACCCUUUGUCCCAUAUUGUUACUCGAGCGCAGAUAUCUGCAAAUUGCGAAUUACAUUCACAACCAGCUAAGCUACACCUGCCGUGAGGCACCCAAGUUUGUACUUUUUCAUUUGGACAUGCUUGGUUUGUUAAUAGUAGUCUGGGGUCAAGAAUUAAGAAAUCUGUAUACUCUCAAUCAAAGAGCACAGUCGAUCAAAUUCAGAUUAGAUUAUGUUCCAUUCUUAUAGGUCAAGUAGGCCACAAAUUUGGCCUACUCUGUAUCAAUGCUUUCUUACACUGUAAGUUAGCAAUAAGAAAGCUGUAACAAAAUUUGAGUCUACGUAGUCUUAACCAAGCCGGUUUAAGCACUCUUUUUUUUAAAAAAAAAAACAUUGAGGGAUGUAACUGACCUUGUCCGAUUAUGGACCCAUCUAACUUGCUUUCUUGUAUGGCUGAGAAGAAAAACCUGCAUUCUUGAAAAUUAAAUUGUCUUUAAUAUCUUUCAGAUGUCUAGGCUUGCGGUAGCUUGAGAAGAACUAUAAGCAAAUUUAUGAUGGAGUAUAAUGCAAAUGCGAUUCUAUUAGUUUAUUGAAAUCUAACAAAUACUUUUAUUCAUCGCACUCAGUAAAUUUUGCCUGAAUUAGUCCAAUAAGUUGUACUCUGUCUCAGCAAAAUACCUUGACCAAAAUAAAAAACGUAGUGACACGAUUGUUAAUGUCUUAGCUGUUUUUCUGUUUCUGAAUUGUUUCAGCUGGUAAAUCAUGGAGUGAGCCCUGCAUUUCUAGAGAACGUAAAGAAAGAGAUUCCGGAAUUCUUCAAUCUAAGCAUGAAAAAAAAAAAAUUGGCGGUCUCCAGGAGCUGUGGAAGGAUUUGGACAAGCAUUUGUUGUAUCCGAGGAACAAAAGCUUGAUUGGAAUAACAUUUUCUUCAUGACAACUCUUCCAGUUCAUCUGAGGAAACCCCACUUGUUUCCUAAGCUCCCUCUUUUCCCCCUCAAGUUUCUCUCUCUCUAGGCAGUUAUUUGAUGAUUGCAAAUGUAUUAUGUUCAGAGAAAGAUCCCAAGUCAGUUAUAUUUAGCAAAAUUUGACAACCAAACAUGAUUUUGAAAGAAUACUGCUAAAUAAUAACUUAUUUAACAAUCCACCACAAUCAUGUACUAAACCUUCUAAUUGCGUCUUCUUUUUUCUUGUAGGAAAUUUUGGAAUUUAUUCAGUGGAGUUAAAAAUCUUUGGCCAUGAACCUGGUAUCGAAAAUGGGAAAAGUUUUAAAUAUCAAAGACGAAGAAUUGAGAGAAUACUUUGAAAAUGGUUUCCAAUCAAUGGGGAUGAACUAUUACCCUCCAUGUCCUUAGCCGGAGAAGGUUGUGGGCCUCACAACUCAUUGUGAUGACUCUGCUCUUACCAUUCUGCUGGAAAUCAAUGAAGUAGAAGGCCUCCAGAUCAAGAAGGAUGGAAAGUGGAUUCCUGUUACACCUUUCCCAAAUGCUUUCGUUGUCAACAUUGGAUAUGUGUUGGAGGUAAUUAUUAUGAUAAGUUAUUUUAACUUGACAUUCAUAUGAGCUAGCUAAUGUGUGCUUUCAUUAAUUCAUGUUGCUCCACUUCCUAAUGCUUUCAUUGGAGACACAUUGGAGGUAAUAAUUAUAGUAAAUUACUUAACUUGGCAUUUAUAUGCGCAUGCUCAUGUGCUUUAAUAAUUUUUACAUGGCAGAUUAUAACCAAUGGGACAUACCGUAGCAUUGAGCAUCAUGUAAUUGUAAACUCUGUACAAGGAAGACUUUCCAUUGGCACAGUUUACUCAGUGAGGUAUGAUGGUGAAAUGUACCCUGCGUCCAAUUUGGUCUCUGAAAAUACUCCUUCAUUGUUUAAAAGAGUGAAAGUUGAAGAAUAAUUUCAGGAAUCUGUGUGCUCGUAAGCUUAGGGGAAAAUCUCAUCUGGAUGCCUUGAGAAUUGAACAUGUUCAAGAUUAUUAUAAGUUUAUUUUGGAUAACUAAAGAGUGUAGUACAAAAACCGUGGGGGACCUUGCUAUUACAAUUGUGUGUGGAACUAAAAAUAAGAAAUAAGUGUAAGAACAAUAAAUCCUUUGGUGAAAAUCAUCACCUCAAUUUAGGAACAUGUAUGUUGUAUCACCAAAAAUUAAUAAUAGAAUAUGCGGCAGUGUACCUAAGUUCAUAAUGCACAAUUGCUCUUUAGAGCCGAGUAGUUUGUCUUCCAAAUAAACAUGUUCUCCUAAAGAAUUCUUUAAACUUCUCUAUACUGUCUCUUUAAUGAUGAGAUGUCAAUAGAGAAUAGAACAAUACGUGUGACCUAUGGAUAAUAACUACUUAUAUAUAUAGAUUUUCCUUUUGUUUUUAGGUAUUCUUAUUUCAACCCAUUAUAAAAAUCAAAAUUAGUCUUAAGUCUCUAUACAUUAAAGGCCCACAAUCUAUUAGAUACAUUAAAACCCAAAUUACCGAAAACCUUAAUAGACCAAUUUUAAUUUGGCUUAGAGUUAGACUAUUGGCACCCCUCCAAAAUUCUUCUAAAACCCCUUUUUCAAUAAUGCUAAGCUUAAUGCCAAAAAUACCCUUAUUUCUAAAUAAACACAUUUAAUUUGUGAAUCUUUUAAUUUUUAUUAUUUUCUCGCUCCUCACAAACAAAAUUUUAUGGGUGAUAAGUUUCUUGAUAAAAAUCAAUUAAUAAAAUAAAAUAUCUGUAAGAUUAUAAUGUAAAAAGUUUUAUUAUGAGCCUUAAAAAAAGGUAGAUAAUUUUUUCAAAAUGUGUUUUGUUUAUUAUCAAUAGAUUGUCUUAGUAAUUGAAGAAAAAUUUACAGAGAAUUUGAGAAAAAAAUUACAUGUGUGAGUUUGAUGGCAGAGAAAAUACAAGAGCUUUUUUUUUAAGAGAGAAAAUACAAAAGUUUGAAGUGAGAUAAAAUAGAUGUGAGAUAUAUUAGAGUAUUUGUCCUUAAAUGUAAUUGUAAUAGAAGAGGAAGUUUAAAAGGAUUUUGAAGGGGUGUCAAUAGUCCAACUCUUUGGCUUAAUCUUAUAUGACAAUUCACAUCAUAUAAUUAUUCACAUAUAAGCGCAACAUUGGAUCAAGGAUCCAACCAUACCAGAUUAAAGAUCCAACAACCUUUCACUUGGACUAUAUAUAUAACUUUGUAAUUAUACUUUACAAAAAUAACUAUAUGAGGUCAACUUUACUGUCAUUACCAAAAUGCAUCUAUAGCCAAUUCGGUCCAUCUAUCAUACCAACAUAGGAUCAAAAUGACCUUUAUUACAAAUAUCGUAACUUGACCCAUCAAUGCUCACUAUGCCAGCAUAACUUAAUGACAUAGAUCAUGAUAUGGUGUAGGAUGGAAAUUUUAUGUAAUGUGAUUUCAACAUGCCUAUUUUCAAUUGAUCCACCUUAAACAUUAGUGAGAUCAAAUUAUACAAAAUUAGAGUGUAAAUAAACCAAAAUUUUAUUUCUGUAGAAAAUAGCCUUAAAUAUCCCCAAACCGAAAAAUGUUUAUAUCAUAAAAGCAUUUAAAAGUUACAAACUCCCAUUAAAAAUGAAUAUCAAUAUCCUUUAAUGACAUGACACCCAUAUGAACAAUGUGCUCAUGAAACAUUUUAAAUGACAUUCCCUUAGUAAACGGAUCUGUAAUCAUGGAGUUUGUACCAUUAUACUUUAUAGACAAUUGUCCACUCUGAAUUCCUUAGGAACUUGAUGUCUAUAUACUGUGACAUCGUUGAGCUCUUAUUGUUAUUGGAAUAUAGCACUGCUGACUUAUUGUCACCAAAUAACUUAAGUGGUCUAUCAUAAGGGUGUCAAAAAAGCCUGCCCGGACCGGACCCGGCCCCCGGACCGCAUGCACAUAAAAACCGGACCCAGGUUUGAAAUUCUCAAACCCGGACAUUUCCGGGCCCGGGUCCGGGUUCAACACCAAAAACCCGGAACCCGGACCGGACCCGGUUUUUUAAUAAAUUUUUUUAAAAAAUAUAUAAAUAUAUAAUUAUGAAUUUAUGAUAUGUUGGAUGUUAUUUAAAUUUAUUGUGUGAUUAUUGUGUUGUUGAAUUUAAUUUAUUUAUUUUAUAUAUAGAUUGAAUGAGUUUAAGUUAGAAAUUGGAUGAAUUUAGGUAUUAGAAAGUGGAUUGAAAUAAUUUUAAUUUAUCAUUUGUGCAAAAUUUGCAUUGUUAGUGUGUUAUAUAUUUGUAUUUGACUAUUUGCUUUUUUAAAGUUUGAGAUUGAAUGAGUUUAUUUGAUUAUUUUCUUUUUUUAAAUUUGCAUUGUUAGAGAAAUGAAAGAAAAAAUUGAAGAAAAAAAUUGAAGUUAUCACAUGCGGGUUUAGAAAGCCCGGAUCAAAACCCGGACCCGGAAGGUGCCGGGCUCAACCCCGGACCGCACCCGAAAAAAUUGGGUUUUAACCCGGGUUCGGUCUUGUAUUUCUCUCAUCCAGUCCCGGGCAACACCAAAACCCGGACCGGACCCAAAUUUUGUCAAGCCUAGUCUAUCAAUACUAUUUAAAAUGAGUAAUUCUAUGACGAAAUUUUGUAGCCAUAUUCCUUGAUUGGAUAUUUCGUAACAUGCUGUGAACUCCGCUGCUAUAGUAGAAAAGGCUAUAAGAGACUGUUUAGCACUCUUUCAGGAAACAACACCCCUAGCCAGUAGCUAGAUGUAACCAAAAGUAGAUUUCAUAUUAUCUUGGGAUCUAACAAAAUCAGAGUUAGCAUAAUGAUCUCAAGCUGAUCUAACUUUCGAUGUAGUCUUUUGUUCUCUGUAAGUAUCGCAAGACCCGUUUGGCUGUUUCCCAAUAGUUUACCCCUGGAUUACUUAAAUAUCUAUCCAACAUUCCAGUAAUGUAUGCAAUAUUCAGUUGCGUACAAACCUAAACAUACAUCAGACUUUCUAUUACUGAUGUAUAAGGAAUCUUCUACAUUUUUUAUUCCUUAAAAUCAUCAUUAGGGCACUAAUUGUGUAACAUCCAUUAUUUUUGUUUUAUUUAUUUAUUUUUUAUUAUUUUACUACUACUACUACUACUACUACUACUACUACUACUACUACUACUACUAUUAUUAUUAUUAUUAUAUCUAUUUUAGAGAAUAUAGUAUUUUAGGCUAAUGAUUUUAAGCGUGUUUUAAUUUUUCUUUAUUUAUUUGAUUUACCAAUUUAGUAAAUACCUUAUUAAAAAAGGAAAUAAAUUCCUAAAUAGGUAAGGGUGUUAAAAGGCUUGGCUUUAUAAAAGCUUCUCUUGCGUUGUUUUAUUUCUCAAAAUCCUAGAGGCUGAAUACAACAACACACACAAGAGUAAACCUUUUUUUUUUAAGAAGAGAAGUAGAUUUUGAUUGGUUUUUUUCUUUUCCAUAAAGAAAUUCUUGAGUUUUGAAUUUGUUUUGAAGGAUUUAGCCUUCUGGUUUUAUUUGUGAUUUUAUGUGAUUGAUUGAAUGAUUUUGUGUGUAUUACAUUGAUAAAAUUGUGAAAGCAUGAUCAUCUAUUGAUUUAUGUUGUUAUUGAGUGAAAGUGGUGCUAUUAUUUUAUCUUGAAAACAGUGAACAACAUAGAUUCAAUGUUUUAUGACUGCUGUUUUCAUUAAGUCUCAUGCAUAAAAUUUUAUAAUUUAUUAAACUAGACAUCUUUAUCUUUCUAUUUAUAUGUUUAUCGUUCAAAACUCAUUGUAUAUUAAUUUUUUUGAUUUUUCAAAAUUGGAACACUAGUGUUGGAAAAUUCCAAUUUUCAGCAGCAGUUCUCGUUACUAUAAUUUAUUUGGUAACUCAAACGAUUUCUGAAAAUUCUAGGAACGUUUUUCAUUUUACACAUAUAUGUCUAGUUUCUGUAUACUUAAAUUCCUAAUUUUUGGCUUUAUAUAAAAAUAAUUAAAAAUCAUAGAGCUAGGCUACCGUAAUAUUGGAAAUUGUUUUCUAGAAUUGCGAGGGUUGAUAUUGAAGCGAGUUUGGGUUACUUUUUCAUAGUGAAUGCUAGGGGUGGGCAAAAUACCCGACCCGAUCCGACCCGAAAAAAUUCGGGUUCGGGUCGGUUCGGGUUGUUAUUGAAACCCGAACGGGUGAAAAAUUGCAAACCCGAUCGGGUUGUGAUUGGGUCGGGUAAAACCCGAUCCGAUCCGAAUACCCGAUCGGGUCGCACAAAAAAAAAAAAUCACUAAACCUAUAAACACAUCACACAUGCACACACCAGACACCAGACACCACACACACGGCCAUGCAAAGUUACAACUCAAAAAGUCACAAAAACAAGUGGCUAAAAAAAUAUUGACAAAUAAAAAACAAAAUAUAAUUAUAACCCACGCACACAGGCCACAGCCACACACAAACAUUGAAACAUAUCUUCGCUGCCUUCACAGCCCUCAUCCCCACAGCCCUCAUCCUUACACUCACAACUUCACACACACACACAAAUAUCGCAAAAGCCAAAAGCAAAGCGGCAGCUAGCAGCCAACGCAGAGAAGAGAACGGAGGAAGCGCAGCCAGUGCAUGCAGCCACCUAACCCGUGACUGGAUCUACUGCUCCGCGACAUCCGUAGCUACCAGAUCUGCUGUUGCCGGAUAUCUACAGGAUCUGUUGCUGCUGGAUCCGCUGCGCUGCUAUCGGAUCUGCUGUUGCAGCCUCCACCAUCACCGAGUUCCACCGCGAAGGUGCGAACCGGCAACUCGAAUUCUUUUCUUUUUUUGAUGUUUUGAUGGGAUAUAAUAAUAUAUUAUAUAUUAUCUGUUAAUUGCUAAGUAUAUGUAUUGUUAAAUGUUAAUAAUAAAAUGAGGGAAAUUCUUGUAUGGAAAGUUUUGGAGUUUAAUUUAUUAAGUCUGUGGAAGCUUAAAUAAUAAGUAUGAAUUGAUUUCUUUUUUUUUGUUUUGUUUUUAAUGAAUAGAUUAAGCAAAUUAAGCAUUAAAAUUAAAUAUUUUGCAUUUGAUCUGUGCAAUGUUUCACCCGAUCCGAAUUAACCCGAAUUUAACCCAAUUAUUUGACCCGAUCCGAUCCGAUCCGAAUAUAUUCGGAUCGGGUUACAACUUCGGGUUGAGUUCGGAUGAAUUCUUUUCUAACCCGAUCAACCCGAAAUCCAAUCGGGUUGAUCCGAACCCGACCCGAACCCAAAAAUGCCCACCCCUAGUGAAUGCCUUAUAAAUUUAACUUUUAUAUUCAAUGCAAACGUGUUCACAAUAGUUUUUUGUAAUAUUUUUGAUUUUUCUGACAUAAUUAUAGCUUGUUAGAAAUUAACUCUUACAAGACGAUCGAGUGUAGUUUAGUGAAUUGAUGUGCUUUAGUAAGAGUAAAUGGUUUAAGGAUAUUUUGGCUUUCUUAUCAACGUCAAAAUUGAAAAAAAAAAUUGAUAAGAAUCUUAUCUUGAUAAUUAUAGGCCAAGAACGAGCUCGUGUGAUUGGGGUUAUUGUUGAUUGCUUCGUAUUGAGUUAAGUGAACUCAUGCAUAAUGUUUAUUAUAGUUAUAUAUGUAAAUAUCUAGAAAAGAAUAAUGUUAUUCAUAUAAAUUGACAUUUUAUGGUUUUGAAGUUAUUUUACUCUUAUAUUUUAUGAUAAUAAAUAAUGUUUUGAUUAAAACUUUAUUUAAAAUAUUUUCUUAAACUAUUUAAAAAAUAACUUUAAAAUAAUUGUCUUUCCAUAAAUUGGUCUUCCUUAAAAAUAUUUGUUAAGCUUGCCAAUUCAAUGUCUUAUAAGAGCAUUUUAUCAUAAUAUUACUGAAUGAUUGAUAUUGAAAGACUGAAAUUGUAUUUAAGAUUUUGGCUCAUUAACCGUAGUUAUUGUUGCUGAUAUAACCGAACAUUUAACUAUAUUGUGCGCACCUAUUGAUGAUUAUAGUUGGGUAACGUACCCUAAUUGAACUACUAACCGAGUCAUCGGGGUUAUAGGUGACUUACUAAACUAAUACCGGGUCAUUAGGGUUAUAGGUGACUUAUUGAACCACUGGCCGGGUCACCGGAAGUACAGGCGACACUAUAUGACAUGAGCAAUUGAAUAAAUGAAUGGUUAUAUUGAUAAAUGAUUUCCGAAAUGAUUAUUUAUUAAAAAUGGUUAUUACAUUAUGAUUUAACUAAUUAUAAGUUUUAAUGUACACUUAUGGUACUUUAUAAUGAUUGUUUUGUAUUUUAUCGUUAUUAGUAACCUUAUGCAUGAGUUAGUGUUGAGUGUUAGAAAAUGCAUAUUUAUAAAGGAGAAAAUUGUCAUUUUACAUUUCAUGUCUUACUAACAGCCCUUACUUUUAUGUAUUUAAGCUUCUUGUAAUUUAAUUAUGUGUGUUUUAUUUUAAUUAAGUAUUUUAUGUAUUUUAGGGGCAUCAUGGUCAUUUCACAAUAAACGAGAGAUCAGACGGCAAAAUGGACAUCACUUUUGAACUCAGGACGGUUGAAAAUCUUAGGAGGAGCAUAAAAGGAAAAAUGACACUGUUCACAUGUACGGUACUGUCUAUGUUACUAUUCACGACACUGUUCACAUAGACGGAUCGAUGAUGUGGCAUUGACCGAUGAUGUGGCAUUGACUGAUGAGGUGUCACGAUCCUGUUGGACUAAAAUUCUUAUGCACUGUUGAUUGAUGACGUGGCAGCAUAUCAGUGGACCAAAAAUCUCGCGUACGGUACAUGCAUUAUACAGGAUUAUUUUCAACCAAACUGAGUCACUGUUCAACUCGGGGCAAACCGUGUUACUGUUCAUCCAAGUGGUCAAACCGCAUACUGUUGACUGAUAACGUGGCGCAAUCCUGAGCGUCCAAACUGUUUUUAAUCCGAUGGCCACGAUUUACUUAAUGUAUCUACAAAAAGGGGGCCUCCCCUCUAAUUUGAUACCUCUGAAUCCAUUUUUUGGAUCCAUUUUCUAUAAUUCCUUCUCCAUCUUGUAUUUUCUACGUAUUUUAAUAAAUUUCUAUUUUGCCCCUAGUUCAAUUAUGAGUAACUAAUUUUCUUUCAAGCUUGGGUUGAAGGUGAAGUCUCAACAUGUGUCAUGGGCUUUAUUUGGUAAAUUUAUUUUCUCUUCCCCUCUAGUUUUUGUGGAUGUUUUGACUUCUCGUCGAUAAAUAAUAAUAAUAUUGUUUAGUACCGCCUUGGUUUCACCGGCUCCCUAAUACAAAGUUAUUAUUAUUUGGCACGAUAAGCCCUUAGCACCAUAUUGAUUAGAGCGUAGUUCAUGAGGUGUGAAUUCCCCCCUCAUGAUUUAAUUGGUAUUAAUAAGGAAUAUUUAGCCCAUGGUGCAUUUGAUAUGAAUUCAAAUACCCAAGUACGUCAAUUUAAUAGAUUUUCACUUUAAUUUCUUCUCGCCAUUUCAAUUCCAAUUUUUAGGAUAAUUUAAAUCACUUCCACCACAAAUCCAACCACCUCAUACAAAAUUAAUUCUAUAUAUAAUUAAAAUCCACCUCCUCGUGAGAUCGACACUCGUCACUAUUAGUCUAUUAUACAAUAGAUUCGUAAGCUUGCGAGUUCAAUAAAAUUUGCACAACAAGUUUUUGGCGCCGUUACUGGGGAGGUAAGUUAUUUUAAUUUGUAGAAUUAAUUUUUGUCAAUAAUUUCUUUUAUUUGUUUUCUUUUUUUUUCUUAUUAAAAAAAAGGGAAAAAAGAGAGUGAAUUUGCAUUGAGAGAUUAGUAUUUCUUUUCUUUUUCUCUUCUUUAAAAUUCUGUAAUUUAAUUUUCAAGUUAUUUUUUUCUUCUUUGUAAUUUUUGUUUAUCUUACUAAUUUUUUUAAGUUAAUUUAUUUCACGUAUUUUUUUGUGUGUAUUUUUAUAGUAAGGUUGUAAUAGCGCGAUAAGGUUAGUAUCGUAAUUUCUCCCUCUUCUUUAUUUUUAUUUGUUUUGUUCCCAUCUUUAUUUUUAUUUUAUUUGUUUUACAUGCAUAGUCGAAGAUCAUUAUUACCUAAUCUUAAACCUAUAGACCUGGAACUAGAAAAAAUACUUCGCACACACAAGCACGUUAAAAAUAAAUUUGGAAUGGAUUUACAAGUACCACAAGAGAGGCCAUUUAAGGACUAUUUUAGUCCUUUAGCUAAUUUGAGCACAUCAUGUAUAAGAUACUCAAAUGUAGCUGCUACGAGUUUUGAACUAAGACCUAGUCUGCUAAAUUGUCUCCCAACAUUCUAUGGCCUAGAAAAUGAGGACCUUUAUAAUUAUUUGAAUGAUUUUCAUACUAUUUGUCAAACAUUUAAAUAUGAGAAUUUUUCAUAUGAUGAUGUAAAACUUAGACUAAUCCCAUUUUCUUUAAAGGAUAGAGCUCGUUCAUGGUUUAAUAUAUUGCCUGCUAAUACCAUUUCAUCAUGGGAACAAAUGGUAACGAAAUUUUUAAAUAAAUAUUUCCCAGUGCAUAAAACUAAUGCUAUUCGCAGGGAAAUUUCAAAGUUUACCCAUAGAGAAGAUGAGCAGUUUUUCGAAACAUGGCAGUAAUUUAAUGGGCUACUCUUGAAGUGUCCACAUCAUGGGUACGAGAAAUGACACCAAUGCCAAUACUUUUUGGAGGGAUUGUUGCUGAAUGUGUAAGAAUGACUAAUGGCAACAAGUGGAGGAGAGCUAAUGUCAAAAAGUGCAUCAGAGAUUUGGGAAUUCUUCUAGCGACAAGUGGAUAAUUCCCAACAACGGAGUCGAUCACUCAGGAAUACUAGAAGAAUUAAGGGAGUGAAUGAGGUUCACAUUGACGAGUCAACUUCAGGAAUCAAAGAAGUCAAGGAGAUGGUUGAAGGUAUCGCUCGACAAAUAGCAUCAUUAUCGACUGCUAAAUCAACAGAGCCACAUGACCAUGACUCAUACUCAGAUCAAGCCAAUACCAUAGGUGUAAUGAGAAGCCAUCAAAUUACAACCCAUACUCCAACACAUAUAACCCAGGAUGGAGAGACCACCCCAAUUUUUUAUGGUCUCAAGGAUUCCAACAGAAUGAAGCAGCAGCUCCAGCUCCACCAAUGCAACGAAUUCCUCAAGUUCCUCAAGCCUCUCAGCCACCAUUUAGACCAUACAAUCAGAACCAGAACUACUCUCAACCCAGACCAUGGGAGGAUGCAUUCCAGAAUUUCAAGAAUGUUACUCACUCUACGAUUGAGCAACAGAACCGCACCAUUGAUAGACUACGAAAUGAGUUGAGAGCAGGUUUCAACUCACAAGCCCAAUCAGUUUCAAGCCUUGAGAAGAUGGUGGGACAACUUGUUUCUUCAGUUCAGACCUUGGCAAUGACCGUUGAGAAAGGUAAAUUUCCAAGUCAACCAGUGCCUAAUCCUAAAGGAGUACAUGAUGCAAGUACUAGUUCACCACAGCAGCAUGGAGAGGUAAAAGUUGUCAUGACUUUGUGAAAAGAAAAAGAAGUCGACAACAAAGUGGAGAUGUAGGUGAUAAAAGAAAAUCAAAUUGUACCUGUAAAUGUUGAGGACUCAUCACCGGAGGAGAAAGAAGAAACGAACCUACGAGAAUAUGUUCCUAAAUCUCCAUUUCCUCAGAGGUUAGUAAAAGGAAAAAAGGAAAAAUUCACAGGUGAGAUUCUUGAAAUCUUCAAACAGGUAAGUGUUAACAUCCCUUUGUUUGACGCUAUAAAACAAGUUCCAUCUUAUGCUAAGUUUCUUAAAGACCUUUGUAUUAAAAAGAGAAACAUUCAUGUUCAAAAGAAGGCAUUUUUGACAGAAAACGUUAGUUCUAUACUCCAACAUAAAAUUCCUCUAAAAUGCAAAGACCCAGGCUCCCCCACUAUCUCAUGUAGUAUAGGGAACCACACAAUUGAAAAUGCUUUGUUGGAUUUAGGAGCUAAUGUAAAUCUGUUGCCUUAUUCAGUUUUCGUGAAACUUGGAUUGAGAGAAUUACACCCAACUCCAGUGGGGUUGCAGCUUGCAGAUCGGUCCACGAAAAUACCUCGUGGCAUUAUGGAAGACGUGCUUAUCCAGGUAGACAAGUUUUAUUUUUCUGUUGAUUUCAUUGUAAUUGACACUCAACCAAUUCAGGAUUCAAGGAAGCACAUCCUCAUUAUUCUAGGCCGACCUUUCUUGGCAACUGCAAAUGCUCACAUUCAAUGCAGGACUAGAAAUAUGCAGUUGUCCUUCGGCAACAUGACUAUGGAGCUGAACAUCUUCAACAUUGCCAAAUAACCUCACAAUGCAGAUGAUAAAAUUGUUGAUGCGGAUUUAAUAGAAACAUUAGUUGAUAAUACCUUUGUUUCAAACCUUAGUGAUGACCCUUUACAAACAUGUUUAACUCAUUUUGGUUUGGAUUUUGAUAUUGACAGAUCAGUCGAUGAGGUCAACGAAUCACCGUUUAAUUCCAGAAACGAGAUUAUGUGUCUGUCCGUUUACCCUUUCACCGUUUGCCACAAUCGGUGAACCGUUUUUCAACAGAGAGUCCUCUAACAGUUACUCCUUAGCCGUUAAGCGCUUAGGCUUUCACCGUUUCCCUUUCUUCAGCCUCUGGAAGUUACCCUUUAACCGUUUUCGCGAAGUCUAAAAUCUGUUCAAAGGUUUUCUUCUCCUUCUCCAGUUACCCUUUCACCGUUUCCUCCAUUGUUGCGCAGCCGAAGGUUUCUUUGUCCUCAAAUCCUCAUUUUUUCUUGCUUUCCUUGCCAAAUCAAACCUUCAAAAUUAUUUCUUAUCACCUUUAGAACAAUUCUACCGAUUCAAAACUUCAAAUCGAGCCCAAAAUUAAAAAAUCCCAAAUCUAAACCCUAACUGUCGCGGGUCGGGUUUCUUCAUUCUUAAUCCGAUUUCCACAUUUCUUCAACCAAAUUGAACAUCCUACUCACAUCCUCUACUCUUCUUUAAACCUUUUAUCGAUUUACUUUCGUCCCAUUACGUGUUUCCAUGGCUGAACCCUCUCGGAGAAAUCCCAGGCGUAAAUCUGUGCCCCCAAUGAAUCCCAUACCACCUCGGGAGGUCUCUGAGUUUUCAAGGAUUCACUUCCCCACACCUGCCUUGGCUAAGCGGUUCGAAGAUCGCUUUGAUGGUCGAAAGGUACUUGAUCCUUUUUUUGUUGAUAUUGAUAAUUUCCGCAACUUAGUUGUAUGUGGUAGAAGCAUUAGGGAUAUGCUUCAGCCUUGGGAGGCUGCCAUUGAUUUUGAUGACCGAGUUUAUCCAAACUUAGUGCGAGUCUUUUAUUCGAACAUGGAAAUCUCCGACACUCGCCUAAAUAGGAUAGUUACUCAUGUCGGCCGUGUGCCAAUAGAGUUUGAUGAUGCGGACCUAGCUGACCUUCUUGGUAUCUCUUGUGAGGGGCUUGAUAUUUACACCUCUAGGAAAGCCCUCUCCUUUGAUAGUUUUUCUCAUACUCAUGGCGUCCGUAAUAUAUGUCGUCGUCAAGACUUAUCGGAUGAGAUUUGUUUGCUUCCGUUUCGGUCUCAACUUUUACCUCUCCAAGUUCGUAUUCUUCACACUAUUUUACAGCACAUAGUGACUCCUAGGAAGGGUCACUCGGAUGAGGUUACGAGGUUGGACGUUCCCUAUUAGAUAGCCUUCUUACAGACCGUCCCAUUAACCUCGGGUAUAUUAUUGUGCGACAUAUGUUGAGUACUCCAGCGAUCAACCAUCGCUUGCUUCCUUAUGGCAGUAUCAUCACUAAAAUACUGCGACGCUUUGAGGUGCCACUUCUUGAUAUUGGACAUAUGGAGACUCGACGGAUUGGUUCCGAGGCCAUGACCAGUAUCGGAUUCUCUAGAAAGAAUGGAGUGUGGAUAAAGACAAGCAACUCCAAAAACCGGGAUACCUUGAUUGCUCCAGAGGACGAUCGGAUGCUCAAUGAUGUCUAUUCUCCCGAUCAGCUUCUUGACUUUAGAUUAGGAGCUCAUCCUCAUCCUCCGCGUCGCCAUUUUUUCCCUCGGCCUCCAGCUGACUCAGACUUUGAGGAGCGUGCGAUGGAUGCUGAUAUUCCCUCCUCUUCCGAGCCGCCUCCUGCUCCUGAGCCUUAUGCUGUUCCCGAGCAGCCAUCUGCCUCUAUGCCGCCUCCAGCUCCAGUUCAGCCCCUUGCUUCAGAUGCAGUGCAGCAGCUGAUUACUGAUGUUCAGCGGAUUUCGGAGCGACAGCAGCUGAUUCUUGAUCGGUUGGACAUCAUUUCCCGUGAUCACCAGCAGCUCCGCUCUGACUUUCAGAUUUUCCAGCAGCAGAGCAUUGACCAGUAGCUCAAGCUUAUCGCCGGACAGCGCACUCUUCUCAGCUAUUUCGGCUAUGAUCCGGGGAGCACAUCUUCUCCGCCUCCAUAGUUUCUGAGUUCUGUUUUCGCACAUACAUUUUUCCAUUUUGGUUGUUAGCUUUUUCAUACUUCGUAUAUGGAUUUUGAUGCAUAUGUGUGUGAUGUUCUUGAUGAUUAGAUGAUUGAUGCUUUGUGAUUGAAUAAUUGUUGGUAUGUUUGUGGAUAUUGAAGUGUUCUUUUGUUUUGAUCAUGGAGUUGUUGGCUUGUUGAAAGAAGAAGUUGGUGUCAAUCUAUUUUUUGAAGUGUUCUAUCUCAUUUUGUAUAAGUGGUUUUGAUCAUUUUUAAGGGGAAACUCUGCCAAAAUUUUCGCUCGCCAAAGCCGGGCAACUUCUUUAAUGGAUUUGUGUAUUUCUUAUUUCUUCUUUUCUUUUUGAUGAUGAAGGGGGAGAUAAUUAUGGUUUUUAAGAUGGUUUUUAAAUGGGGAGAUAUUAUUUUAAGAUGGAUUUAAAAUGGGGAGAUUUAAAGAAAAAAUCCUUUUAUUCAUAUUUCUCAAUUUGUCCAUACAUGUAGGGGGAGCACAUAUUAAGGGGGAGCUAAACAUUGAAUGAAAUUUGUCAUCAUAAAAAAUGGGGAGAUUGUUAACAUAAAUAUGUUAAUAAUAUUGAUUUUGAUGAUAACAAAUUUUAUAUGGUUUUUGACAAAAAUAUUGGAGAUAUUUCUUAAUAAACGAAAGCCCUUUUAUUCAUUGCCUUAUUUUUUCAUAAAAGAUGGACUUUCAAAUUAGAAAGAGAUUCUCUACAAAAAAAAAAACUCGUUUAAAAUUGCAAUUCUGGUUAUAAACGGUUAACCAUUUUAAACGAUUAAAGGCAGAGAGCAACAUAUUUCCUAAACCUUUAACCGUUUAUGAAAAACGGAAAACACAAAAGAUGGGAAGGUUACUGGAACUUAACGGUGAACCGUUUAUUUUAAACGGUUAACCGAUUAACACCAGAGAGCGACAUAAUGCCUAAAGCUCUAACCGUUUAUGAAAAAUGGAAAUCACCAAGAAUGGAAAGGCUACUGGAACUUAACGGUGAACCGUUUAUUUUAAACGGGUAACCGAUAAUGUCCAGAAUUGAAGGUUGUCCUCCUCUGGCACUGAUUAACGAAAAAUGAUAAGGCUAAAUUAUUUUGCAGGUUACUGGAGACAAACGGCGAACUGUUUAUUUCAAACGGUUAACCGAUAAUAUCCAGAAACGUUACUUCACGCAAGUUCUUAACCGUUUAGCGUAAACGGAUAACAAAUGCUCAUCUUGCAGGUCUCUGGUAGUUAACGGCUAAAGGUUAAUUACAAACGGCAAACCGUUUAUUUGAAAUCUAGCCCAACGGUAACUUUGACCAACCGAAACGGUUAACCGUUUAGGGUUAACGGCGAACCAUUUUCUGUCCGACAGUUUGUAACGGCUAGAUUUUCAGCUCCAGAUAUAAAUAAGCUCAUUCAAAUUCAAAGAAGGUUGAUCACAACACGACCAUUUUGAGCUAAUAUUCGAGAAUGCAAUCUUCAUAGAGCUUAGAACACAUUAUUGCUUCAUCUAUUCACAUAUUAAGCAUCAUUGUGUAAUCUUAUAUAUUGUGAGAGGUAAAACAGUUUGUAAUCUUUUACUUUGAGUGAUUGUAAGUGUUGGGAUACACUUGGGUUAAGAGAUUGGGGAUAAUCUCUUGUUGUAAAGGUCCAUUGACACCUUGGAAGUCAAGUGUAAGCAUUUGAAGCCUUGGAGGCUUGCUUAGUGGAAUCCUCAAGCCCGGAAAGCUUGGAGGCGUGGACGUAGGCGAGGUUGGCCGAACCACGUAAAAAUCUCGGUGUUUGAAUCCCUCUUCCCUUAUCUUUUUAUAUUGUGAUCAUCUUAAUUGUUAUUGCUUUGAAUUUGAUUUAUAAUUGCAUUAAGAUUUUCUUUAAUAAAUUGAAUAAUUUUUUAGAAUCCCAAUUCACCCCCCCUCUUGGGUUGCAUACUUGUAUUUCAUAUUUUCCACAUAUACCGGUAUAGUCUCUGACUUUUCUUUUACACUGCUAUCAUCUUCAUCUCUCGUUUGCAGUUGAUCUUCUAUAAAGAUAACAUCUCUGCUGAUGAUGAUCUUGUGGGCAGUGGGGUCCCACAGACGAUACCCUUUUACUCCAUCAGCAUAUCCCAAGAAGAUACAUCUUCUAGAUUUUGGAUCCAGUUUUGUUCUUUCUUGGGCAUUGUACAUCACGUACACAGGACAUCCAAAUGCAUGUAGGUAGGAAUAAUCAGCUGGCUUUCCAGUCCACAUCUCCAUCGCUGUCUUCAGCCCAAUAGCUGUAGAUGGCGACCGAUUUACUAUAUAACAAACAGUUUUGGCUGCUUCUGCCCAAAAUGAAUUGGGUAGACCAGCAGUCCUCAACAUAGCUCUUAUUCUUUCUGUAAGAGUUCUGUUCAUCCGCUCCGCCACUCCGUUUUGUUGAGGAGUGUAUGCUACAGUGAACUGUCUCUGAAUACAUUCUUGCUUACAGAAAGCAAGAAACUCGCCGUCUGUAUACUCUCCACCAUUAUCCGUCCUCAAUUACUUGAUCUUUUUACCAGAUUCAAGUUCCACCCGCGCUUUGUAUUCUUUAAACACUGGAAAUACAUUUGACUUUUUUUUAAUUGGAUACACCCAACAUCUUCUGGAAUAAUCAUCAAUGAAAGUCACCAUGUACUUUGCACCUCCCAUGGAUAUAUCCGGUGAUUCCCAAACAUCAGAAUGAAUCAAGUUUAGAAUGCAUUUACUUCUAGCAAUAGAUCUACUAAAUUUUAAUUUAUGCUGCUUACUUGUAACACAAUGCUCGCAAAAUGGUAAACUUACCGAUUUGAGCCCCGGAAGCAAUUUUCGCUCAGAGAGAAUCUUCAAGCCUUGUUCUGACAUGUGGCCAAGUUUGAGAUGCCACAUCAUCGUUGACUCUUCUCCAUUUGAUGCGACACACGCAUCAGCCUCCUGUAGUGUUUCUCCUUUAAGCAUGAAUAGAUUAGCACUGAUCUUUUCUGCAUUCAUCAAUACAAGCGCGCCUUUAACGAUCUUCAUAAUUCCAUUCUCCACAUGAGUUUUGUACCCAUGACUAUCCAUUUGUCCCAAAGACAAAAGAUUUUUCUUCAGGCCGUUGACAUGGCGUACCUCCCCAAUUGUGCGAAUUGUACCAUCAAACAUUUUUAUUUUGAUAGUACCAAUACCAGCGAUCUCCAAGGCAUGAUCAUUACCUAUAUAUACAGAUCCUCCUGAGAUAGGUUCAUAUGUGUGGAACCAUUCUCUCCGAGAGGUCAUGUGCCAGGUAGCUCCUGAGUCUAUAAGCCAGACAUCAGAUAGUCGUUUUCUGCCUUUUGAAACAAUUGUUGCCUCGCUGUAAAGAAUUUCGCCAUCAUCCGAGGUACUUGCUAUACACCCUUGAGCAUUUGAUGACUCAGGUUUUUUGCCCUCUUUUCUCUUCUGGUUACUCCAACACUCUUUCUUGACGUGCCCUUUCUUGCCACAGUUGUAGCAUUUAACAUUCUUCUUACUUCUGGAUUUUGAUCUACCAUGAUUUUGACUCCCACUAGGGCCACGUUCCGUUGAUCUCCCUCUCGUCACCGAUAGCGCCUCCGUUUGCUGUGAACUUACUUGUCUGUUUUCCUUAUUUUUUCGCCUGCUCUCCUCAUUUAAUACGGAGGCUGCAACAUCGUCAAAAACUAGACUGUCCACUGGAUUAUUGUUCGUCAGGUUGAUGAUGAGUUGAUCAUACGAAUCUGGUAGACUUUGAAGUAGAAGCUCUGCACGUUCAUUUUCCUCUAUAUUAUGACCCAACGUUGUGAGUUGUGAAAAUAGAGUCUUCAAGGUGUUGAUGUGGUCGGUCACCAUUGUAGAUUCCGCCAUUCGAAGAGUAUAAAGUUUCCUCUUCAAGAAAAUUUUGUUGUGUAGUGACUUGGCCUCGUACAAUUUUGUGAGAGUAUCCCAAAUUUCCUUCGUUGUGUUUUUCUCUGCCACACUGGAUAAUACUCCGUCUGCAAGUGCCAAGUGUAGAUCAGAAAUGGCGUUGCCGUCUACCUCGUUCCACUUGUCAUCAGUUAUCUCCAUGGGCCUUUCUCCAAUUGCUGCCAAGCAAUUAUUUUUCCUCAAUACAGCUUUCAUCUUCAUUUUCAACAAUGAAAAAUUAUUUCCGUUAAACUUCUCAAUUUCAUACUUUGCCACCAUUUUGUUGAUAAAUACCGCACACAAGCUAGUGUACCACCUUGAAUAGUUGUGAGUAUGUGUGAGAAUGCACACCAGGAAAGUUCCCAGGAAAGACUGGAGGGGUCACAAUGGUCCCACUUAAAACCCAGACUCAUUAAGCUCUUAUCGCCUUUGUGAUAGAACUUUCCUAGACAUGUACAAAACCACACAGUUGCUAUUACUCACACCACUAUUCUCUGCUUUGCAUCACAAAAUUCUUGGAUCGCUUCCACCGUUUCUUGUGAAUAGUACCGUAUACGUGAACAUUACCGUUUACGUGAAUAGUACCCCUUACGUGAACAGUACCCGACUCCAAAAAUACAACCAAUAGCUCUGAUACCACUGUUAGGAAAUUGGUAGGUGAAGCAGACACGCAGCUAGAAUAAAAUUGAAAGAAAAAUAAAGAACAAGUACAAAAAAUGGACACCAGAAAUUACGUGGUUCGACUUUUAGCCUACAUCCACGGGCGAAGACAGAAGGAAAUAUUUUACUAGUGAAAAGGAGUUACAAGUAUUGUAGUAUUUUAGCUCACUUCCCAAAAUCCCAAUACACCCAAACUCUCAGAACACUAAUCACUCAAGAGUUUAUUAAACUCUUAAUACUCUCAACACUAAAAGAAAGCAAUAUUUCUCUCUCGAUGGAAUUGGAUACAAGCUCUAGAUUGAGAGCUUGUAUUUAUAGGCAAAAAUUUGCCUCAAAUGUCAAACAAGUGGCCAUAAACUUCAAGCCAUACAUCUUAAAAAUUUCAAACUUUGAAUUUUUAGCUUUGAAUUUUUCUUUUCUUUUACCAAACAUUACGGCAUCUAGAAUUUCAAAGCCAAGUGCCAACCAUUCUUGUUUAUUCAAAGCUUCUAGAUGCAGCCAAUUUUGACAAUUACACAUAUAUAAGAGUAUGUCGUCAGGUCCAUACUAGUAUUUUUACACAAGCGGUCACCUCAAUUGCUUUAGGAGCAAGAUGAGAUGAGACAAGUAGAAUAAUAAAACAAUAUUUUUGUGUGAGAGCCAAAUAAAAAGCGUUAUUCUACAAGUUUUUUUGCCUUGACUAGAAUCAAGAGGUCUCACACGAUUUUCAUUAUAGACUGACUAUGAUAUACCCCACCAUCAUGGAGACUUCAUUGAAGCCAGAUGUGAGAUCUUUACUUUUUACGCUAGAAGAGAGCGUUCAUUCUAAAAGAGUGACUAGACUAAGAUCUAUAGUCCUGGAAUGGAAAAUUUAUCGUAACGAGUGUAUCAUACCAUGCGUGCUUGGUAAUCAAAAUGGAAAAUGAAAGAAUCUUCAAUCUUUCUAAUUGUGUAAGUUCCAUAUAACUUUUUAUAAGUCAAUCCUGGUAUCAUCUUCUUCUCUUCUUCGUGAAGAUUAAAAUUAAGAACAUUGAACAAUCCAUAAAAAGGGCAUUUAUACUGUGAUUAGAUAAGGAUUUCCGCUUGCGAUUUCUUCUGACCAUUAACAUGAUCCAGUACUCGAUUACUCCGCUGCUGAAUUCAAUAAGAAAAAUAUUUCUAGAAUUUUCAUUUUUCCUUCAGACCAUGUAAGAAGCAUACGAACAGGAUGAUCCGGAGUCAAAAGGUGAACGAGGUGACGGCUCGUCCGUUAGUACUAUUAAUGUAUAAGGUAAUAUGGGAAUUACUAAUAAUUAAUCGACUAGCUGAUUUGUUAGUUAUGAUUAUCAAUGACGGUCUAUUUCCUGCCCAUAUUUUACCAUGCUGUUGAAUGGUCCCCUUAAAAUAAUCCAGAUCAGUCAUUUGCAUAAAAAUAUAUCAUGAGCGGUUAGGUGGAGGAUGCUGAUUUGUUAGAAAAUAAUUGUUUUCAACUCUUGCGAUUGUCUGCACCCUGCACUCUUGUUCCAAAACCAAUACAAAACUGUAGCAAUCUUAAGAGGAUUUGUGGAACAAAAGAUGGCCAAGAUUGGAGGUUCUCUGCUUGUUCCUUGUGUUCAAGAGUUGGUCAAGAAUCCUAUGUUAGUUGUCCCUCCUAGAUACAUUUGUCCGGACGAAGAUUCACCACUCAAUUCUGAUGAUACUUUGAUUUCACAGAUACCAGUUAUUGACAUGCAGAGCUUGCUUUCUGAAGAAUCAAUGGAUUCUGAGUUAGCCAAGCUCGACUUCGCUUGCAAAGAAUGGGGUUUUUUCCAGGUAAAAUGCUUUAGCAGAGUUAGAAAGAUUUUUCAUGCUUGUCUGUGAUUUAAGAAUCAUGAAAUCUGCAAAACUCUCAGUCACAAAAUAUCUAUUUUUGAAACCCAGUUUCCAUUGAUUUAGCAUGUCAUGAUUUCAAAUUUUCCCAUCUAGUCCUUUUGCUGCUUUCAGUGCUUCUACGACUGCAGCUUGUGAAAUGUCAAGGAAGUUGUCUCUUGUUUUAUUGUACAAUUUAUGAGGCGAUAUGAGAAGAAAACACUCACCAUUUAUUUCUGAAACCCAGAUUCCAUUGAUAUAUUUGUUUUUGACUUGCUUUAUUACUUUACCUUUCCAUAUAGCCAUAGAUUUGUUAGUAUAAUUUGUAUUAAAAGAUGCCCAUGACAAAGUUCACCUAUUUUGUCUCAAUAGCUUUUGGUAGCUUAUGAGAAAUAUGCUUCUGUCAAUAUGUGAUUAAAGAUAUAGUAAAUUGUAUAAGACUCCCGCAGAUUAUUAGCUGUUCUAGAAUAUUCAAAUUUCUCCAAAACUAUGAGUAAAAAACACUUGUAAAAAUCAAUCAUUGAUUAGAUUUAUAAACAAAAUAAAAUUGGUGUUUAAUGCAACAGCAAUGUUCUCAGUUGAAAUGUAACAAAUGCUUUUAGCCAUCUUUGAUAGCAAAUCUUGUCUCUAAAUUAGUCAAAUAAGUUGCAAUCUGUCUUCAUAAAACGCCUGGACGAUUGUGAACCUAGUGGCACGAUUAUCAAAUCUUAGCUGCUGUUCAUUCCUGCGUAAUUUCAGCUGGUAAACCAUGGAGUAAGCUCAGCAUUUCUAGAGAAAGUGAAGAAAGAGGUUAAGGGCUUCUUCAAUCUCAGCAUGGAAGAAAAGAAAAAAUAUUGGCAGCAUCCAGGAGAUGUAGAAGGAUUUGGACAAGCCUUUGUUGUAUCUGAGGAACAAAAGCUUGAUUGGGCUGACAUUUUCUCCAUGAUCACUCUUCCAGUUCAUCUGAGGAAGCCACACUUAUUUCCUAAGCUCCCUCCUUCCCUCAGGUUCUCUCUUUUUGUGGUUGAUAUGGAUUUGCAAACAAAAAGGGAAAAUUAAACCUUCUAUGAUUCUAUCUAAUGUUUUACCUUCUUUUUUCUUGUAGAGACACCUUGGAAGUUUACUCGAUGGAGUUAAAAUCUCUGGCCAUGAACCUGAUAUCGAAAAUGGGAAAAGUUUUAAAUAUCAAAGAUGAAGAAUUGAGAGAAUUCUUUGACAAUGGUUUCCAAUCAAUGAGGAUGAACUAUUACCCUCCAUGUCCUCAGCCAGAAAAGGUUAUGGGCCUCACCCCUCAUUCUGAUGGCUCUGCUCUUACCAUUCUGCUACAAAUCAAUGAAGUAGAAGGUCUCCAGAUCAAGAACGAUGGAAAAUGGAUUCCUAUCACACCGCUGCCAAAUGCUUUCAUUGUCAACAUCGGAGACACAUUGGAGGUAAUAAUUAUGAUUACUUUCCUUGGCAUUUUUAUGUCCCUUCUCAUGUGCUCUAAUAUUUUUAACAUUGCAGAUUAUGACCAAUGGGACAUACCGUAGCAUUGAACAUCGUGCAAUUGUGAACUCUAUACAAGAAAGACUUUCCAUUGCCACAUUUUACACAAAGAGAUUAGAUGGUGAAAUAUAUCCAGCAUCCAGUUUGAUAUCUGAAAAAACUCCUGCAUUGUUUCGAAGAGUGACAGUUGAAGAAUACUUUAGGAGCCGGUUUGCUCGUGAGCUUAGGGGAAAAUCUCACCUGGAUGACCUGAGAAUUCAACAUGGUCGAGGCUAGUACAAUUAUUUUGGAUAAUUGCAGAUUUGUGCCAGGAAUUUUCUGAUGAUAAUUGUGCUUAUUUUGGAUCAGUUUCUUUCAUUUUUGGAAUAGAAUUUUUGCAGGCUUGUCAUGUUUUUAUCAGAUUUCAAGAACUAUUUCACUUGCUUUCGGAGUUAAAGAUGAUUCAAAUAUGAUAUUAAAUACUUAAGCAUGCCAUUCUAACGCUUGCUUGUCCAAUUACAUCCUUAUCAACAAUAUAUUUUGUUACAAUGUCACUGAAGUUGAAUAGAUAACAACAUGCUUGGGUUAUAUGUUGUCAUUUGGCUUAACCAUCCGUCACAUUAAGCAGAUUGUUGUGAUAAUGUGUUUUACAACCUUCCCCAGUAGCAUGAAUGUUGUUAAAAUAAUUGUAACAAAUUUUAUAUUGCUUGUAGCAACAUUGUUCUCCAUAGCACACAUUGCGUGAGUACAUAAGUUGUAACUUGUUACCAAUAAUAAUAAUAAAAAAUAAUAAUAAUAGUAAUAAUAAUUAUCAAUAACUAAAAAUGAGACGGAUGUUACUUUCAUAAGUGGAACUUGGAUUCACAAGCUAAAUAUGAGGUUUUAAUUGGUUGUUAUCAGAAAAAAAUAUAAAGAUAAUUAAUGCCUAAACAUAAACAGCUAUAAUUGUAUAAAUGACUAAUCGAUUACAAUUCGAAUCCACUAUUUUCUUAAUAGUGCGCAGUCAAUUCCAACACAGCACCAGAUUGCAGCGUGUUAGAAAAAAUUUUAGGUAAUCAUAUAUAUGUUUUAAUCAAUAAUGAUAAUAUGUUUACCCAUAUAUAAGAUUUGAAUAGAUAAAAAGUAAUACUCGAGAACCACCAAAGUCCUUUUAACUGCAGACACGCAAUGGUGGAUUACUCGCACAAGUCAAGAGCAAAAUACCAAGUUGUGAAAGAAAAAUAAAAAGGGGAAAACAAAACAAAACGCAGUAUUGAAAAUACCUUCGCCUUUUGGGUUGAUGACAAGGUGGGAACCACAAAUAAUUAAUUGGCUGAUGGUUUGUCAUCGUUAUCCAUAGAGGAUAGUUUUGACCUGCGAAUAUUUUAUUUUGCAUUCGAAACAUGUGCAAAAAAUUAAAAUUACUUCAUGAAUGGUUAGGUGGAGGAUGCUGAUUAAUUACUUGGAAAAAGAUUCCUUUUUACUUUUGUGAUUGUCAGCACUCAGUCUUGUUCCAAAACCAAUACAAAGCUGCAGCAAUCUUGAAAGGAUUUGAGGAACAAAAGAUGGCCCAGAUUGGAAGUUCUCUCCUUGUGCCUUGUGUUCAAGAGUUGGUCAAGAAUCCGGCGUUAGUUGUCCCCGACAGAUACAUACGUCCAGAUCAAGAUUCACCCCUCAUUUCUGAUGAUAUUUUGAUUUCACAGAUACCAGUUAUUGACAUGCAAAGCUUACUUUCUAAAGAAUCAAUGGAUUCUGAGUUAGCCAAGCUCGACUUCGCAUGCAAAGAAUGGGGUUUUUUCCAGGUAUAAUGCUUUAGCAAAGUUAGAAAAUUGUUUCGCCAGAACAUGCUUGUUUGUGAUCAAGAAUCGAGAAAUAUGCAAAUUGUCAAUCAAAUAGGCAAAAUUAAAAUUCAUAUUUAUUUCUUAAACCCACGUAUCAUUGAUGUUAGCAGAUCAUGGUUUCACUUUCCAGUGUUGUCUGUGGCUUAGGACUGCAGCUUGUGAAAAGAAGAACUUGUCUCUGGUUUAUUUAUUAUUGACUUUCUAUAUUGCUUUACCUUUUCUCCCUCCAGGCAUGGUUUAAUUAGCUAUUUCAUUCCUAAAUGUCAAACAGGCAAUAUGUAUUAAAAAGAUUGUCUUGAGAAAUUUCACCUCCUCUGCCUCAAUAGCUUUUGGUACCUUAUGAGAAAUAUGCUUCUGUCAAAAUUUUAAAAGAUAUACUAUAGUAAAUUGUGUAAGACCUCUUAGAAAAUGUACUCAUUUCUGUAGUCAAUGUUGCAAAUUUACUUUAAUUUAAAGACAAUUAGAAGUAACAUUGAGAUUAUUUGCUGUUGUAUGAUUUUUCAAAUUCUAGGUGUGAACAAACCACAAGAACUUUAUGCUCAUUAUAGUUAUUCUAGAAUAACCGAAAUUUCUCCGAUAGAAUGAGUAGAAAACACCUGUGGAAACUAAUUGUUGAGAAGAUUUAAAUGUAACAAAUGCUUUUAGCCAUCUUUAAUGGUAAAUCUUAUCUCUAAAUCAGUCAGAUAAGUUGCAAUCUGUCUUAAUAAAACACCUGGACUAUUGUGCGCUUAGUGGCACGAUUAUUAAAUCUUUGCUGCAUUUCGUUCCUGUAUUUUUUUCAGCUGGUAAAUCAUGGAAUGAGCACAGCAUUUCUAGAGAAAUUAAAGAAAGAGGUUGAGGGAUUCUUCAAUCUCAGCAUGGAAGAAAAGAAAAAAUAUUGGCAGCGUCCAGGAGAUAUGGAAGGAUUUGGACAAGCCUUUGUUGUAUCGGAGGAACAAAAGCUUGAUUGGGCUGACCUUUUCUCCAUGAUGACUCUUCCAGUUCAUCUGAGGAAACCACAUUUAUUUCCUAAGCUCCCUCCUUCCCUCAGGUUCUCUCUCUCUCUCUCUCUGUGUCAAUGUCAUUUUGAUUUGCAAACAAAUAAAGGAUAGUGCAUCUUCUUUUCCUGUAGAGAGACCUUGGAAGUUUACUCAAUGGAAUUAAAAACCCUAGCCGAGAACCUAAUAUCGAAAAUGGGAGAAGUGUUAAAUAUCAAAGAUGAAGAAAUGAUAGAAUUCUUUGAAAAUGGACUGCAAGGAAUGAGGAUGAAUUAUUACCCUCCAUGUCCUCAGCCCGAGAAGGUUAUGGGCCUGUCGCCGCAUUCUGAUGCAGCUGCACUUACCAUUCUGCUACAACUUAAUGAAGUGGAGGGUCUCCAGGUAAAGAAGGAUGGAAAGUGGAUUCCUGUUACCCCACUCCCGGAUGCUUUCAUUGUCAACAUUGGAGACACAUUGGAGGUAAUAAUUAUAAUAAAUUACCUUAACCUGGCAUUUUUAUGCGCUUGCUUAUGUGCUUUAAUAAUUUUUACAUGGCAGAUUAUAACCAAUGGGACAUACCGCAGCAUUGAGCAUCGUGCAGUUGUAAACUCUGUACAGGAAAGACUUUCCGUUGCCACAGUUUACUCAGUGAGAUAUGAUGGUGAAGUGUAUCCUGCCUCCAGUUUGAUCUCUGAAAAAACUCCUCCUUUGUUUAGAAGAGUGAGAAUUGAAGAAUACUUUAGGAGCCGGUAUGCUCGUGAGCUUAGGGGAAAAUCUCAGUUGGAUUCCCUGAGAAUUCAACAUGGUCAAGGCUAGUAUAAGUUUAUUUUGGAUAACUAAAGAGUUUGGUACAAAAACUCUUAAGGACCUUGCUAUUAAGAUUGGCGUGGAACUGAAAAUAAGAAAUAAGUUCUAUGAAUACUGUGGUAUAACCUGCUAUGCUAGGGUCGUUGUGUAGCUCUAUCAUUUGAGAUACUGAAUAGACCAUGUAAGAAUCUUAAGAAUUGCAGACUUAUGCCUGGAAUCUUCCGAUGAUAUAUGGUGGUGCUUAUAUCAGAUCAGUAUCUUUCUUUCUUGAAAUAGAAUUUUUGCAUACCUGACUUGUUUUUAAUGAGAUUUCAAGGACUAUAUGACUUGGUUUCAAAUUUUUAUGAUACAUACAGAUAAUAUUACCACAGAACCAGUGUAGUUUCUGUAUCAGCCGUUAUAGUUUUCAGUUAAUAGUAACAAGUUUUUGAUUUUUAAC